UUUUUUGUUUUUUUUUGGUGGGCUUCUUUGGCCUCUUUUUUUUAUUUGGGCUUCUUUGGCCUCUUUUAUUUUUAUUUUUAAAGUCCGGAGUCUCAUCCCGACUUGUGGGGGAAUCAUAGUCUCCAUCAUCCUUUCCUCACUGGGGCAAUGCUCUAAUAAUGAUGAUCAUCACACUUUUAUUUACUUACAACUCAAUAUUACAACUCGAUACUAGAACAAAAUAUGACUCUAUAUGAAUGCCUCUGGAGUGUACCAUGAUGUGCAAUGAUCUAGCAUAGCAAAGAUAUCAAAAAAGGGACAAGCCAUGAAAACAUCAUGCUAGCUAUCUUACUUUCGGUGGGAAAUGACACCUAUGGGAUCACAAGAAUCCCUACUACGGUUGCCGGGGCGCAGGGUUGUGAGAAGAGCAGGAUUAGCAGUCAACACAAGGAUCGUUUACCCAGGUUCGGGCCGCGAGGAUGCGUAAUACCCUAGUCCUGCUUUGGCGUGUAUUUGAGAGAGUUCUUGAGCUCUCGAACUAGCUAUGGUGGCUGCAUAGUUCAGAAGAGCUAAAUCCCUCUCCAGUAUGCCAUGGGCCUCCUUUUAUAGUCGAAAGGGGCUGCCACAGUGGCACACCGGAGGUGGAAAGGUCUACAGUGCUGCGAGCUUAUCGCUCGCGUUACAUGACAAGACGCAUUUAAUGCGUAUCUUAGGUGUCCCUUAGCUUUAUUGGGGACGGGAACGAGGCCCGUCCCGUCCGUUGCCGCCUCGCCUUGCUUCGAGACGUGCCCAGGCCAGCAGUGCAUGCGGCGCCAUGUAGGCAGGCAGGCAGCUGAGGUGGCGCGGUGGUAGGGUCUUCACGAAGAUCUGCAUGCCACCGCGCAGGUGCUUGCUGAGUUGGCGUAGGGGCCGCCCGUCGCCACGCAGGUGCCUGCCUAGCUAGUUGAGCUAGCAGCUGCUUGGGGCCAGCGGUGGAGUCUUGGUCGACGCGGGCCUGGCUGUGGCCCCGCUGACGCCCUCGGCAAGGGCCUUGCCGGGGGCCCGGCAAGGGUCUUGCCGUGGCGUUGCAGUUGUCCCCGGCAAGGGGCUCACCGGGGGUCUUGUGGAUCUCCUCGGCAAGGGUCCCGUCGAGGGUCGCCGUCUUCUGGUUCUCAUCUGAUCCCAUAUCUCUAUGGUCUUGACGAAGAUCUGCAUGCCACCAUGGAGGUGCCUCCCGAGCCCUAGUUCCAACGCAGUUGGUUGGGUUGGAACCCGUGGGCUCAAGGGUGGCUCACUCUGCUGGCGUCGGGCAAGUUGCCCUGGCAAGGCUCUUGCCGGGGCUGCGGAGGCCGCCCCGGCAAGGGCCUUGACGGGGAAGUCCACCUCGCCCUCCUGCUUUUCGGUGUUUCUGGUCUUGGCGUUGCCUUCGCCAUCUUGUGUUUCGGCUUCUCUCUAGCUCCCUUCUUCUGCCCUGCUACGUGCGGCCGUGGCGCGUGGCUCUGACUGCCCGUGCACAAGUAAAGGGGUCAAAAGGAGAGCCCCUACUUUUGUACACUGAUAGGAGCCCCCGGGCCUGGGCCACAGAUAAGCGCGACACGUUAUUGGGCCAGGCCCAGAACGGUGCGCGGCUAGGCGGGGCGGAUUUUUACCGCAGUAACUCUUCGUCCGCUGCGCUUCCCCACGACCCGUAUUGGACGCGCGUCGUGGAGGAUCGUGUGUGACGUGGGGGGGCAUGCCUGGGCGGUUCUCGCACGCAUGUGUCACAUCGCAGUUAAUGGGAAAGGAAGCGACCCGCGCCUUCCCCGUAAAAAGGAAUAACCGCGGGCGCGCUGCUCACUUUACCCCCUUCCCUGCGUCUUCUCCAAUCUCAGAGCCGCCGCCCCCUUUCCUCCUCCUUCUCAAGUUCUUGCCUUCGCUCGCCGCCACAGCGUCUCCGCCGUCUUCUAUCCCUUGCUCCCCCCAGCCGCCAUGGCGCCCAAAUCCACCAAGGGCAAGGGAGUGGCCAAGGACGCCGGAGCGACGGAACCGCCGGAGAGUGCGUUGGCGGUGCAGCAGACGCAGCUCGCCUACUUCCUCUCGACGGUCGAUGUGUUCGAGCUCCGGGAGGCCUUCAAACCCUUGUGGGGGGUGAAGACGGGGGGAGAGAAGACAGGGCAUCCAGCCACGCGCGUCAUCCCUGCCAAUUAUGCCGAGGCCGCCUCAAAUCGGUACCCUUUCUUUGUCGACUACUUCUCCUGCGGGCUCUGUCCCAACUUCUCCGAUUUCUUCAGCGACGGCAUGCACACCUAGGGCUUCCACCUUUUGGAUUUUACUCCAAAUGCCAUGGCGUGCAAGGCUCUUUUCGCGCACCUUUGCGAGGGCUUCGCCGGGAUGCAUCCCAACACGGCGCUCUUCCGCCACUACUUCUCCCCUCGGAUCCAACCGGGGGGCGCCAUUUCCGGUUGCGUCACCUGGAUCCCAAGGUCCAAGGGGACGUACCUGGAGGGCGCCAUGAAGGAGAGGUGGGAAGAAUGGCGGGGCCGGUGGUGCUGGAUUGAGGAGAAGGACCCGCCGGACUUUUGCCGGGUUCGUGACGCGCCGCCGGUUCGCUGGGGCGACUGGAGCGACGUUGACGCUGACGACGCGAAGCUCACGGUCGCCACCACCAGGAUCCUUCGCCUUACCGAGGCCGGCCUCACCCUUGAGAUGAUCGGGGCGGAUUUCAUCCUCCGCCGAAUCGCUCCGCUGCACAACAAGGGGAGGCCAGCCUGGCUCUUCACGAACGCCGCCGACAUCAUGAGGCAUCGCCACGGCCUCGACCACAACUUCACGGUGAUGGGGCAUGCCCACUUUUGCCAGCGACUCUUCCAGCUCGACGUGAACCGCGACGGUGAGGUCGAGCAGGCUAGCAAGGCCGUGAGAGCCGCAGCGAAGGCCGGCAAGGUCACCAAGGGGCCCUUGUUCAAGUUGCCGGCGGGAGUAGUUCCGCUGAGCAACAACUCACGCCGGACCGACAUCAUCGCCAUGAUGCCGGAUUUCAACGUGCACGGCCUUGACCCAAACUGGGUCGAGCCGGAGGACAUUCAAGUGCAGGAGUUCUUUGACACCUUGCACGAGGGGUACGUCACCGCCGAGCCGCGGCUCGUCCAGGACACCACCCAGGCAGAGCUGGACUACAUCGCUGCCAGGGCGAUGGAGGCGAAGCUUGCCGAGGAGGCCGGUAGCGCUGGUGGCGUGGAGGACAAGGCCGCAGCGGAGGCGGAGGAGAAGGAGCUUGCCAAGUGGGCGGAGGCCGCUGGGGAGGUCAGCAGCGCCGACACCGGGGCUCCUCUCGUCGAGGAGGUGGUCGACGAGUCGUCGGAGGAGGAGGCUGAGGCUGUUGACCCUCCGGUCACGGGGAGAGGGCGAGUCCUGCGGCGGGCCACUUCCGGCGAGCCGGUACGGCCCGUCAAGGCCGCGCGCCAGCCAAAGUCUCCGGAGGAGUCCGCGCGUCAGACAAGGGCCGCGGCGGCGAAGAAGGUCGUCAAGGCCGCGGUGGCGAAGAAAGCAUCUGCCUCCUCUUCAUCCAAGCGCGCGCAGACUCCGCCCUCCUCCCCUCCUCCGGCAAACGUCGACGCGGGGGUCACCUUUGACUUCGGGUCCCUCAGCCCAAGGAGGAGGAGGAAAGAAACAGAGGAGGAGGUGGAUGACGAGUAAGCAUCUUGCUCUUUUCUAUCAUUUCCGUCUCCCCAAUCUGUACCGCUUGUCUUGACUUGUUUUCAUCUUUGCAGGGACGUGGAGACGCUGACCUAGAGGGUGAAGAGGGCCAAGGCCUCGGCGGGCGGCCAGCCCCCGGCUGGUACUUCAAGGGCGCCACUGGUGGUGCUGAGCAGCCCGGACAGCAGCCCCCGGCACAGCCCCCAGCGUAAGUUCAUCACUCACCCCUCGUCAACAUGUGUCAGGGGACGCGAUCUCCUGGUGCUGACCUUGCCGUAGUCGCAGGAGGAGGACAGCAGCAGGAGGAGCCAUAGAGGGCUACCCCUAACACGCCGCCCCCAUCGAGCACGCCGCCCCGAGGGGCGUCCCCGACAAGGGCGCCAAGCACCAAGCCCAUGCACACAGAGGAGGGGGAGGAGAACUCUGGCACCGGUGGCUUUUCCUCGGCGCCAAAUGUUGGUGGGGAGGGGACCUCUGCGCCCCAGCCCAGCACUGGUAAGCCGCUCGCCUUUCGUCUCUAUUAUCUUUCUUUUCUUGCUGAUUCUUGGCUUUGUCUCAUUCCCUUCUUGGUGUCCAGAUCGUCCAUCGGCGGACCAGGAGGACAUAGACGCCAUCAUCGAGGAUGUCGCCAAGGACGCCGCGGCAGAGGCCGGGAAGGUCGCUGCCGAGGAGUCCGCCAAGGGUGUCGCCGAAGACGCUGCCAAGGGGCCCGCCGGGGAGCCCGGCAAGGGGUCUGCCAGAGAGGCCGGUAAGGCCGCCACCGAGGAGGAGGUGGUUGAUGACAAACCCUCCUCCUCUACCGCCUCCGGCUCCAGCAGGUAUCUAAGGAUGACCGACAACCUCUUCGUCCACCUUCCCGGGGCGUCCAGCUCCAGGGCGCCCGUCGAGGGAGAGGUGUUCGACGAAGAGGUGCUUGCCGCUGCCGGGCUCGAGGUCGUCGACGAGCCGAGUGCCGGUGGUGAUGGCUCUCAGGAGAGCGGCUUCUCCAGGCCAUGGGCGCCAAUUUCUGGAAGCUCCAGGCGCUCGACCGCGCCCGCCUGGACAAGGCCAAGUCCAGGAUGGAAACGGUGGACAAGGCGGAGGCGGACCUCAAGGUGCGUGUCGCCGAGGCGUAGACUUGGUUCCGCCAAGCUAGCGAAGAGCUGAAGGCCGCCCAGGGCGAGCUGGCCAAGCGUGACGUGGAGCUCACCAUGAAGCUGGCCGACAUCGAGAAGGCCCAAGAGACGGCGGAGGGCUUGGCUGCUGCAGUCGAGGCCGCUCGAACCCAGCAUCAGGCCACGCUGAACUCCCAGGAGGAGGACCUCGCCAAACGCAAGGCGGAGCUCGACGCCAAACUCCACGCCAAGGACGGGGAGGUGGAGAAGCUUGUCUCACAGCGGACCCAAGAGCUAGAGCAGAGGCACAGGGAGACGCUCGAUGCCCAGGCUCUGAUUCACGCCGGCAAGGUGAAGGAGCUGGAGCGGGACCGGCUGAAGGAGCAGGCCCUGAACCUGUCCCAGGAGAAGGACACGCUCAACGGCGCCCUGACGGAGGCGCAGGGCAUGGCCGUCAGCAGGGCCGGGGAGCUCUCCGAGGCCAACAACUCCAUCAAAGGCCUCAAGCUGAAGCUGGACGGCCUUGAGGAGAUGCUCUCAGAGGCCAAGGCUUGGGAGGAGACCCUUGCCAAGGAUUUGGAGGCCGAGAAGUUGCAGCGGAGGAACAAAGCCGCCAGCCACAAGGAUUUCGUGGAGGGCGAGAAUCGCUGGAUCAGCCGCCUCGAGGACGUCGCCGGCAGGAUCACCACGCAGCUGUCUACCAUGGGGAUGCCAAAUGUGAGGUACGCCCCAGAGCGCAGCGGGACCACCAACGCCAAGCUGGCCCUGUUCUUCGAGGGUGUUCUCGGGGCCCUGGAGCAGUUCCACUCUGACAGCACGGCUUCACUGGCCGACGAGAACCGAAGGCUCUGCCGGGGUGCCAAGACCAAGGUCCUCACCAAGGUGGCGUACUGGAACCCCACCCUUGACUUCGACGCCGCGCUGGAGAGCUUGCCGGAGGGUACUGACCUCGCGCCGCUCAAGGAGCGUAUCGAGCCCAUCAUCGGCGGAAUUCAAAGGGUGGAGGGCCAGCGCCGGGAUUAGGCACCCCGUUUUUUAUCGCCGCUGCAGGUUCAUGACCAAGACAAUUUCUAUCUUUAGUUAGAACCGCAGCAACAAUUUGAUGUAAUAUAACUCUGCAGCACUUUUGAUAUUAUGCACGUUAUUUUCAUGUUUGAUUUUUCCUUUGUAUGUCUACCUACGUUAACUGGGUAGGCUCGCCGGCGUGUAAACCCAGGGCGGCGUCUUGAGGACGGAUCCCCAUUGGCCUGCCGGGUGUGCUUGCUGCCGGGCAAACCACCUCACCGCCCCCAACGCGGCCGCUCGAACUGUCGAGCUUGACUCGAGUCAGAAUCGAGAGCGUUGCCAGGCUGUGGAAGGCUACCCUGCCACUCUCGACGCGGCCGCUUGAGCUGUUGAGCGGACUCGAAACAGAACAAGGGUGUUGCCAAUUGCGGGAGGGCCCCUUUGCGUGCAGGUUUUCCAUACAUAGGCGGAAUCUCCGAGGACGAUAACCUCAUGAAUAAAAGGAAAUAGCUCAAGGAUCUGGAUGACUUAGCUUUUCUGUUGCCGCGCUGGCAUCCUUCGCGCUUGCAGGCGGCGCAAUUUUCUCCUGGUCAUCUUCUCUUUAGAGGCCAUGGCGAUGAAGAACUGCUAGGCUAACUACUAGACUAGAUUCUCACAAUUGCGCCCCCCUACCUGGCGCGCCAAAGAUGUCGGUGGGAAACGACACCUAUGGGAUCACAAGAAUCCCGACUACAGUUGCCGGGGCACAGGGUUGUGAGAAGAGCAGGAUUAGCAGUCAACACAAGGAUCGUUUACCCAGGUUCGGACCGCGAGGAUGCGUAAUACCCUAGUCCUGCUUUGGCGUGUAUUUGAGAGAGUUCUUGAGCUCUCGAACUAGCUAUGGUGGCUGCAUAGUUCAGAGGAGCCGAAUCCCUCUCCAGUAUGCCAUGGGCCUCCUUUUAUAGUCGAAAGGGGCUGCCACAGUGGCACACAGAAGGUGGAAAGGUCUAUAGUGCUGCGAGCUUAUCGCUCGCGUUAUAGGAAAAGACGCAUUUAAUGCGUAUCUUAGGUGUCCCUUAGCUUUAUUGGGGACGGAAACGAGGCCCGUCCCGUCCAUUGCCGCCUCGCCUUGCUUCGACACACGCCCAGGCCAACGAUGCAUGCGGCGCCAUGUAGGCAGGCAGGCAGCUGAGGUGGUGCGCUGGUAGGGUCUUCACGAAGAUCUGCAUGCCACCGCGCAGGUGCUUGCUGAGUUGGCGUAGGGGCCGCCCGUCGCCACGCAGGUGCCUGCCCAGCUGGUUGAGCUAGCAGCUGCUUGGGGACGGCGGUGGAGUCUUGGUUGACCCGGGCCUGGCUGUGGCCCCGCUAACGCCCUCGGCAAGGGCCUUGCCGAGGGCUCGGCAAGGGUCUUGCCGUGGCGUUGCAGUUGUCCCCGGCAAGGCGCUCGCCGGGGGUCUUGUGGAUCUCCUCGGCAAGGGUCCCGCCGAGGGUUGCCGUCUUCUGGUUCUCAUCUGAUCCCAUAUCUCUAUGGUCUUGACAAAGAUCUGCAUGCCACCAUGGAGGUGCCUCCCGAGCCCUAGUUCCAACGCAGUUGGUUGGGUUGGAACCCGUGGGCUCAAGGGUGGCUCACUCUGCUGGCAUCGGGCAAGUUGCCCUGGCAAGGCUCUUGCCGGGGACGCGGAGGCCGCCCCGGCAAGGGCCUUGCCGGGGAAGUCCACCUCGCCCUCUUGCUUUUCGGUGUUUCUGGUCUUGGCGUUGCCUUGGCCAUCUUGUGUUUUGGCUUCUCUCCGGCUCCCUUCUUCUGCCCUGCUACGUGCGGCCGUGGCGCAUGGCUCUGACUGCCUGUGCACAAGUAAAUAGGUCAAAAUGAGAGCCCCUACUUUUAUACACCGACCCUUACGAUCAUGCAAAGCAAUAUGACAAUGAAUGCUUAAGUCAUGUAUAUGAUGAUGAUGGAAGUUGCAUGGCAAUAUAUCUCGGAAUGGCUAUGGAAAUGCCAUAAUAGGUAGGUAUGGUGGCUGUUUUGAGGAAGAUAUAAGGAGGCUUAUGUGUGAUAGUGUGUAUCGUAUCACGGGGUUUGGAUGCACCGGCGAAGUUUGCACCAACUCUCAAGGUGAGAAAGGGCAAUGCACGGUACCGAAGAGGCUAGCAAUGAUGGAAGGGUGAGAGUGCGUAUAAUCCAUGGACUCAACAUUAGUCAUAAAGAACUGACAUACUUAUUGCAAAAAUUUAUUAGCCAUCAAAACAAAGUACUACACGGAUGCUCCUAGGGGAAGGGUUGGUAGGAGUUAACCAUCGCGCGAUCCCGACCUCCACACAAAGGAUGACAAUCAAAAAAUAAAUCAUGCUCCGACUUCGUUACAUAACGGUUCACCAUACGUGCAUGCUUCGGGAAUCACAAACCUCAACACAAGUAUUUCUACAAUCCACAACUACCCACUAGCAUGACUCUAAUAUCACCAUCUUUAUAUCGCAAAACUAUUGCAAGGAAUCAAACAUAUCAUAUUCAGUGAUCUACAAGUUUUAUGUAGGAUUUUAUGACUAACCAUGUGAAUGACCAAUUCCUAUCAACUCUCUAAAUAGAUAUAAGUGAAGCAAGUGAGUUUUAAUUCUUUCUACAAAAGAUAUGCCCACGCACUAACAAAUAUAAGUGAAGCAAAGAGCAUUCUACAAAUGGCGGUUUUCUAUGUGAAGAGAAACAGGCAAUCCAAACUUCAAAUGAUAUAAACGAAGCACAUGAAGCAUUCUAUAAAGCCAUACUCAAAAGAUAUAAGUGAAGUGCAAUGAGCAUUCUAUAAAUCAACCAUGGACUAUCUCAUACCAGCAUGGUGUAUAAAAGAAAAGUGAAAACUAAAUGCAAAAGACGCUCCAAGAUUUGCACAUAUCACAUGAAUGAAACGAAUCUGAAAACAUACCGAUACUUGUUGAAGAAAGAUGGGAUGCCUUCCGGGGCAUCCCCAAGCUUAGACGCUUAAGUCUCCUUGAAUAUUUACUUGGGGUGCCUUGGUCAUCCCCAAGCUUGAGCUCUUUCCUCUCCUCCUUUUCCUCAUAUCGAGACCUCCUCAAUCCUCGAACACUUCAUCCACACAAAACUCAACAGAAAGCUCGGUAAGAUCCGUUAGUAUAAUAAGGCAAAUCUCUACUCUAAGUACUGUUGCAAACCAAUUCAUAUUUUGUUUUUGCAUUGUAUCUACUGUAAUAUAACUUUUCCAUGGCUUAACCACUGAUAGAAAUCGAUAGUUUCAUCAAAACAAGCAAACUAUGCAUCAAAAACAGAAUCUGUCUUAAACAGGACAGUCUGUAGUAAUCUGAACAUUCACCAUACUUCUUGUACUCCAAAAAUUCUACGAAAAUUAGGAAAGAUAAACAAUUUGUAUACAAAGACAGUUCAAAAAGUUUCAGAACCGUUUGACGUUCCAGUAAAAAAUGUAAAAUCACGCACUACAGCCAAAGUUUCUGUUUUGCACCGCACAAACCAACAAGCAAUGUAAACAUCCUAAAGGCAAAUCUUGGCACAUUAUUUUUAUUUUUUAACUUUAUAAAAGCACACAACAGAAAUAAAUGACUCUCUAAAACUUCCGGGUUGUCUCCCUGGCAGCGCUUUCUUUAAAGCCAUUAAGCUAGGCAUAUAGUGCUCAAGUAAUGGAUCCACCCGGAUCCCAAGGUAUAUCAAAGCCAAUUUUAAUUAACAAUGAUUUGGCAUUUAGUAGUGAGCACAAAGCAACAUAUAUCAUGCAACAACGAAGUCUAACUCUCUUCCUAUGCAUCGGCAUGUCAUAAAAGAACAAUUCAUGCAUACAUAGUAAAGGCCAAUGCAUAGUAUAAACAGUUUCUUGCAAUUUUAUCAUAUUGGAAACAUGGAGAGGCGGAGAUGUAGUUCCUCUCUCAUAAUAAUUGCAAGUAGGAGCAGCAAGCACAUACAUAUUAUAUCUAUCAAAAUCAGCAUGUGCAACGGUAAAAGGCAACCCAUCAAUAUAAUCCUUAAUAAGUGAAGGAAAUAUGCCCUAGAGGCAAUAAUAAAUUUAUUAUUUAUUUCCUUAUAUCAUGAUAAAUGUUUAUUAUUCAUGCUAGAAUUGUAUUAACCGGAAACAUAAUACCUGUGUGAAUACAUAGGCAAACAGAGUGUCACUAGUAUGCCUCUACUUAACUAGCUCGUUGAUCAAAGAUGGUUAUGUUUCCUAGCUAUAGACAUGAGUUGUCAUUUGAUUAACCGGAUCACAUCAUUAGGAGAAUGAUGUGAUUGACUUGACCCAUUAUGUUAGCUUAGCACUUGAUCGUUUACUAUUCUGCUAUUGCUUUCUUCAUGACUUAUACAUGUUCCUAUGACUAUGAGAUUAUGCAACUCCCAUUUACCGGAGGAACACUUCGUGCGCUACCAAACGUCACAACGUAACUGGGUGAUUAUAAAGGUGCUCUACAUGUGUCUCCGAAGGUACUUGUUGGGUUGGCGUAUUUCGAGAUUAGGAUUUGUCACUCCGAUUGUCGGAGAGGUAUCUCUGGGCCCACUCGGUAAUGCACAUCACUAUAAGCCUUGCAAGCAAUGUGACUAAUGAGUUAGUUGCGGGAUGAUGUAUUACGGAACGAGUAAAGAGACAUGCCGGUAACGAGAUUGAACUAGGUAUUGAGAUACCGACGAUCGAAUCUCGGGCAAGUAACAUACCGAUGACAAAGGGAACAACGUAUGUUGUUAUGCGGUUUGACCGAUAAAGAUCUUCGUAGAAUAUGUGGGAGCCAAUAUGAGCAUCCAGGUUCCGCUAUUGGUUAUUGACCGGAGACGUGUCUCGGUCAUGUCUACAUAGUUCUCGAACCCGUAGGGUCCGCACGCUUAAAGUUCGAUGACAGUUAUAUUAUGAGUUUAUGUGGUUUGAUGUACCGAAGGUUGUUCGGAGUCCCGGAUGUGACCACGGACAUGAUGAGGAGUCUCGAAAUGGUCGAGACGUAAAGAUCGAUAUAUUGGACGACUAUGUUCGGACACCGGAAUGGUUUCGGGGAGUUUCGGACAUAUACCGGAGUACCGGGGGGUUACCGGAACCCCCCGGGGAGACUAAUGGGCCUAUUGGGCCCUAGUGGAGAAGAGGAGGGGCGGCCAAGGGCAGCCGCGCGCCCCCUCCCCCCCCCCUAGUCCGAAUUGGACAAGGAGGGGGGCGGCGCCCCCCUUUCCUUUCCCCCUCUCUCUCCUUCCCUCUCCUCUCCUACUCCCACUUGGAAGGGGGGAGUCCUACUCAUGGGGCGCGCCUAGGGUGGCCGGCCCCCUCCCCCUCCUCCACUCCUUUAUAUACGGGGAGGGAGGCACCCCUUGGAGACACAACAAUUGAUCUCUUGGAUCUCUUAGCCGUGUGCGGUGCCCCCCUCCACCAUAAUCCACCUCGAUAAUAUCGUAGCGGUGCUUAGGCGAAGCCCUGCGUCGGUAGAACAUCAUCAUCGUCACCACGCCGUCAUGCUAAUGGAACUCUCCCUCAAAGCUCGGCUGGAUCGGAGUUCGAGGGACGUCAUCGAGUUGAACAUGUGCAGAACUCGGAGGUGUCGUGCGUUCUGUACUUGAUCAGUCGGAUCGUGAAGACGUACGACUACAUCAACCGCGUUGUGCUAACGCUUCCGCUUUCGGUCUACGAGGGUACGUGGACACACUCUCCCCGCUCGUUGCUAUGCAUCACCAUGAUCUUGCGUGUGCGUAGGAAUUUUUUUGAAAUUACUACGUUCCCCAACAGUGGCAUCCGAGCCAGGUUUUAUGCGUAGAUGUUAUAUGCACGAGUAGAACACAAGUGAGUUGUGGGCGAUACAAGUCAUACUGCUUACCAGCAUGUCAUACUUUGGUUCGGCGAUAUUGUUGGAUGAAGCGGCCCGGACCGACAUUACGCGUACGCUUACGCGAGACUGGUUCUACCGACGUGCUUUGCACACAGGUGGCUGGCGGGUGUCAGUUUCUCCAACUUUAGUUGAACCGAGUGUGGCUACGCCCGGUCCUUGAGAAGGUUAAAAUAGCACUAACUUGAUGAACUAUCGUUGUGGUUUUGAUGCGUAGGUAAGAACGGUUCUUGCUCAGCCCGUAGCAGCCACGUAAAACUUGCAACAACAAAGUAGAGGACGUCUAACUUGUUUUUGCAGGGCAUGCUGUGAUGUGAUAUGGUCAAGGCAUGAUGCUAAAUUUUAUUGUAUGAGAUGAUCAUGUUUUGUAACCGAGUUAUCGGCAACUCGCAGGAGCCAUAUGGUUGUCGCUUUAUUGUAUGCAAUGCGAUCGCCCUGUAAUUCUUUACUUUAUCACUAAGCGGUAGUGAUAGUCGUAGAAGCAUAAGUUGGCGAGACGACAACGAUGCUACGAUGGAGAUCAAGGUGUCGCGCCGGUGACGAUGGUGAUCAUGAAGGUGCUUCGGAGAUGGAGAUCACAAGCACAAGAUGAUGAUGGCCAUAUCAUAUCACUUAUAUUGAUUGCAUGUGAUGGUUAUCUUUUAUGCAUCUUAUCUUGCUUUGAUUGACGGUAGCAUUAUAAGAUGAUCUCUCACUAAAUUUCAAGGUAUAAAUGUUCUCCCUGAGUAUGCACUGUUGCGAAAGUUCUUCGUGCUGAGACACCACGUGAUGAUCGGGUGUGAUAGGCUCUACGUUCAAAUACAACGGGUGCAAAACAGUUGCACACGCGGAAUACUCAGGUUAAACUUGACGAGCCUAGCAUAUGCAGAUAUGGCCUCGGAACACUGAGACCGAAAGGUCGAGCGUGAAUCAUAUAGUAGAUAUGAUCAACAUAGUGAUGUUCACCAUUGAAACUACUCCAUCUCACGUGAUGAUCGGACAUGGUUUAGUUGAUUUGGAUCACGUGAUCACUUAGAUGAUUAGAGGGAUGUCUAUCUAAGUGGGAGUUCUUAAGUAAUAUGAUUAAUUGAACUUAAAUUUAUCAUGAACUUAGUACCUGAUAGUAUUUUGCUUGUCUAUGUUGAUUGUAGAUAGAUGGCCCGUGCUGUUGUUCCGUUGAAUUUUAAUGCGUUCCUUGAGAAAGCAAAGUUGAAAGAUGAUGGUAGCAAUACCACGGACUGGGUCCGUAACUUGAGGAUUAUCCUCAUUGCUACACAGAAGAAUUACGUCCUGGAAGCACCGCUAGGUACCAGACCUGCUACAGGAGCAACACCAGAUGUUACGAACGCCUAGCAGAGCAAAGCUGAUGACUACUCGAUAGUUUAGUGUGCCAUGCUUUACGGCUUAGAACCGGGACGUCAAUGAUGUUUUGAACGUCAUGGAGCAUAUGAGAUGUUCCAGGAGUUGAAGUUAAUAUUUCAAGCAAAUGCCCGGAUUGAGAGAUAUGAAGUCUCCAAUAAGUUCUAUAGCUGCAAGAUGGAGGAGAAUAGUUCUGUCAGUGAGCAUAUACUCAGAAUGUCUGGGUAUAACAAUCACUUGAUUCAACUGGGAGUUAAUCUUCCGAAUGAUAGCGUCAUUGACAGAAUUCUUCAAUCACUGCCACCAAGCUACAAGAGCUUCUUGAUGAACUAUAACAUGCAAGGGAUGGAUAAGACGAUUCCCGAGCUCUUCGCAAUGCUAAAGGCUACGGAGGUAGAAAUCAAGAAGGAGCAUCAAGUGUUGAUGGUCAACAAGACCACCAGUUUCAAGAAAAAGGGCAAAGGGAAGAAGAAGGGGAACUUCAAAAAGAACAGCAAGCAAGUUGCUGCUCAGGAGAAGAAACCCAAGUCUGGACCUAAGCCUGAGACUGAGUGCUUCUACUGCAAAUAGACUGGUCACUGGAAGCGGAACUGCCCCAAGUAUUUGGCGGAUAAGAAGGAUGGCAAGGUGAACAAAGGUAUAUGUGAUAUACAUGUUAUUGAUGUGUACCUUACCAAUGCUCGCAGUAGCACCUGGGUAUUUGAUACUGGUUCUGUUGCUAAUAUUUGCACCUCGAAACAGGGACUGCGGAUUAAGCGAAGAUUGGCUAAGGACGAGGUGACGAUGCGUGUGGGAAAUGGUUCCAAAGUCGAUGUGAUCGCGGUCGGCAGUUUGUCGGCGUUCUGGGAACGGGGCUCCCCAGACUUGCCUGCCUGCGGCCCACGGCGUGGCUAAGCAAGCAGGCCGUACGGCCCAUCUUCAUCAACAAGGCAUCCAAGACCCUCGCGAGGGUCCAAGCCUCGCGAGGUGGAUGACGCAAGACCUCCUCUGGAGUGGCCUAGCCAGACAGGCUCACGAGGAGCAGAGAUAUCAAGGCGGGGCAACCUCACGAGGCUCUCGUGACGCGAGCCAUGACGAACGACACCAGGCGGGCGCCAGCGCGCGCAACGUCCUUAUUUCCUCUUUGGUGCUAAGGAGGCCAGUGCAGGCGAAGAGUACCGAGGCAUCAGGCAAAGGAUGCUAUAUUGGUGCAACGAGACCGAGACCAGGAGGACGGCAAGACAAGGUCAUCGUGGAGCCCAAGACGGCGUCACCACCAGAGCUUUUCACAGGCGAAGACCACUUUUGUCAGGAUAGCUUGUACUAGUUGUCCCCCUUCAAAUUUGCCCACCGUUGUUGGCUCCCUUCCCGCUCGAUAUUUGGGAAGAGGACCAGGGCCUAUAUAAGUAGAGCUAGCCACCAUAGUAGGGGCAACUCAUCUUAGCUUGAUCCAACCCGAUUGAGAGCCGACCCUAGCCACAAGAACACCUCAACCUCAGGAGGUUGUUCUUCCCUUGUAGUGUUCAUCAUCAGCCCUAGAGGCAAUCCACCACCACCACACUGGAGUAGGGUAUUACACCACAAUGGUGGCCCGAACCAGUAUAAACCUCUUGUCUUUCUGUGUUGCGAGUUCGUCGAGUUCGUCCGCGAGAUCUUAGCGAGCUAGGGCGUAGAUCGGUAGGAGGGAAAGACUUCGCGCGCACCCCAGUGUUCGAACCUUAAGGGUUUGCCGGAACCCCACAUCCGACAUUUGGCGCGCCAGGUAGGGGUGCGCCAUAGCUUCCCUUCCAUCAGUUCGUCGCUCCGUCGCUCCAUCGUUCCCAUGGCGGACGCUUGCCGUGCUCGAGCUGAGCGUCGGGCUGCCCUCACCGCCCGCGUCGCUCAGACGGCUCCCGUCGGUGGGCCACCUCGUCAUUCUCCGUCUCCCAUCGCCAAUGUUGCCACCGGCCCGACAGGGAACGAGCAGAAGGCGUCCUCGCUGCACCCUUCGGUGCAGCAGGACGGCCGCACCGCCACUCCAUCACUAACCCCUGCCGGUUCUUCGUCUCACGCGCGCCGCGCUCCUCGCGGCGAACGAACUCCUGCGCUACCGCCCAGUCGACGACCUCUAUGAGGAGUGGCUCGACCAUGUCGCCGAGCUCGUCCGCGCCGCAGGGGGCUCUCCGGCGCCGUCCCUCUCUCUACCUCCCCAUCAACCGGCCAUGGGCGACGAGGCUCAUGGCGUGCCUCCACCACCUCUGCCUCAAGACGGUGCCUUGGCACCAAGGCGUGCGGCCCCGCGGCAUGAUCCACCGCGCCCGGUGCCCGCGCGCGAAGAGAGAAGCUGCCAAGAAAUCCCUCGACCGUGAGAAGCUGCACCUGCGCUUCCCGCACCGCCCGCAGCGGCGCAGCGCGGACCUCGUCAAGACCAAGCUCCACCUCCGAAGCGGGGCCCGGCAACCACGGCCGGCUGCCGCGCCUUCCCCCCCGAGCUGCGUAGCGUCGCCUGGCCAGGCAAGUUCAAGCCAGAUCUGCCUCCUCGCUACGAUGGCACCGCCGACCCCGCGGAGUUCCUGCAGCUCUAUGAGCUAAGCAUGGAAGCGGCCAACGGCGACGAAAAAGUCAUGGCGAACUGGUUUCCCAUGGCUCUCAAGGAUGGAGCCCGCUCCUGGCUCCUGAACCUGCAGCACGGCUCGAUCUCCUCUUGGGACGAAAUGCGCGACCGCUUCGUCGCCAACUUCCAGGGCACUCGCGACCGUCCGCCGGCCGCAGGUGAUCUACGCUGCAUCAAGCAACAACCAGGAGAGACCCUCCAGAAGUACAUCCAGUGCUUCAACAACACCCGCCUCAAGAUCCCCAAGGUCAUGGACGAAGCCAUUAUCUCCGCGUUCUCAGACGGCGUCCGUGACAUCAAGAUGAAGGAAGAGCUCGCCAUCCAAGAGGAGCUCUGCACCUCUCAGGAGUUGUUCAACCUGGCGACCAAGUGCGCAAGAGCUGAGGAGGGGCGCCUCUCUCUCCUUGAGCUACCAGCCGCGGGCGCAGAGGAGAAGAAAGCCAAGGCCAAGGACGUGAAGCGCAAGGAGGCGGUUGUGCUCGCAGCGGAGACCGACACCAAACGGGGCAGGGAUCAGCCCGAGUCUUCCAAGAACAGCCGACUGUUCUGCGCCUUCCACAACCUGAACACCCACAACACCAGCGCCUGUCAAGAGCUCAGAGCCAUACGAGAAGGACGCUUCGGUCGACGCCCCGAGCGCAGCGACCAGGGCUACGACCGCGGAGGAGGACGUGGGGGCGGACGCUGGGACGACCGUGGCCCGCGCCAGGAAUGGCAUGACAAGCCUUGCGAGGACCGCUGGCAGGACCAACCUCGCGAGGGCGCCUGGAGAGGCCCACCUCGUGAGGAUCGCCCUCAGGGCAACACCGGUCUUCCCCCACUGCCGCCACCAAGAAGGAACGACGACCACCACCAGGACGAGGGGGUUGGGGGCUUCCAGGAGCCGCGUGUGAUCGCUUGCAUCUUGGGUGGCGCCCAGGACCCAGCCUCUCAGCGCAUCUUCAAACAACUCGCUCGCGAGGUGAACGCGGUGCUUCCCAAGCUCGAGGCCACGUGCUCGCUCAAGUGGUCCCAAUGCGCCAUCACUUUCAGCUCGGCAGAUCAGCUCAAAUGCGCGGCCACCGCCAGUGCCCUCCCGAUGUUGUGUUCCCCAGUCAUCAGCAAUGUGCAGGUUACCAAGACCCUCAUCGACGGCGGCGCAGGGCUCAACGUCCUGUCCGUCGACACGUUCGACAACCUCCAAGUGCCAUAUGAACAGCUCCAGCCCACCAAGCCUUUCUCAGGAGUGACCGACGGGUCCACCACACCGAUAGGACAGGUCUGCCUGCCUGUCACCUUCGGGGAGCGCAAGAACUACCGCACCGAGCUCAUCGACUUCAACGUGGCGCACAUCCGCCUGCCGUACAAUGCCAUCCUCGAGUAUCCGGCCCUGGCCAAGUUCAUGGCAGUCACCCAUCACGGCUACAACGUCCUCAAGGUGCCAGGAAGCGGAGGAAUCAUCACGGUCCCAUGUGAAGAGAGGGAUGCGGUGUGCUCCCUCGAGCGCGCCUUCCAAGCUGCAGCAACCGACGACCCCAACAGCAGAAGUGAGGGACCUCCGAAAGCCAUCCCCAAGAAGAAGCAGCUGCGACGCGCAGGACCUCAGGAGGAUGGCGUCGCGGCAGGAGCCUCAUCAGGAUCAGCGCCCGUCCCAGGGGCGCCUCCCUCCGUCGCAUAGGAAGGCGCGCCCGGCGCCCUCCUCAGGCAAGGCUCGGGGGCUCUCUUCUGGAGGGCCUCAGACCUUGCUGACCUCAUGAGGGAGGCGCUUGGGCACUACCUGGAAGCAUGCUUCGCGGCACAUGUUCCUCAGGAGAGCACGGGGCAAGGAGUGCCCACCACCCAGGAGUUCAUCACCAAGACCACCCGGGAACUGCAAGACGCAAGAGCCAUGCGCGGCGACCGCUGCUCACGAGGCGCAGCCCCCCAUCCUGGCGAGGAUGCUGGGCUGCGUGUCUGCAUCGACGUCCCAGGGCUCAACAGGGCUGCGUCUCAAGAGCGCUUCUGCCCUUCGCGUGUGGGCCGCUGCGAGGGCCCGCCACACAGCUACGUUCGCAUGCCCUUCGGCUUGCCGAGCUUGGCGUCGGCCUAUCAGCGCAAUAUGCGGCGUGUCCUGGCGGCUCAGGAGGCCAGGUACCACGCCGUCCUGGAAGAGAUGGAGACGGUCUUCAGGGAACCUCCCGAGCCCCCAGAGCCUCCCGAGGCUCAGGGCUCCGGCGGCUCAUGAGGAGUCAUUUCUUCAACGCACGCCUUCAGCUGCACCAACUCUACUUCGUCUACAGAACCAGGUGACAUCUUCCAAGCUCGUUUAGCUGGGAGCGCCCCUCGGGCUGCAUUAUUCCCAGGCCACGUGGGUCCGUCCCUGUGGCAUGUAUCCCUUUUGUUUAUGUCUUUAGAUUACCUUGUUGGGGGCGCCCCUCGGGCUGCACCAUCCCCAAGCCGCUCGGGCCGGACCCGGUGGCAUGUAUCUUCCUGCAUUUACCCAAGUUGAUCUGCUUUCCAUGCUUAACCUGCCAACUGCUAUCACCUGCUCGAUCAUCGCCUCCCCCGAGGCCUCCACACAGGCACGGCGCUGGUGCAUGGGUCCUUCCCUGUCACGUCGACAAACCUGAGCGGUCGAGCUCUGGCUCGCGGCAUGCCCCGCGCACGUCACCUCACUAGGCCCUCAGUGCCUUCACCUCAUCCAGAGCAACCAGCGGCAGGCUGACAGCUGUAACGGCAAACCGUGUUUCUUCUUGUGCCGGUUCACAGGGAUCCCGUGGGAAGGAUAGUAGGCGGCACCGCGAGCCUCCUUUUAUCUCAUGCAAUUCGCUUGCGCGUUAAAGGGGGGGCUCCUGAGCAUCGCGACUCAGGAGCUCUUACUGGCUCUCCAGCCCUCACCCCCUGGCCUUGCACACGGCAUCGCGACCUGGCAAACCAGCGGCGGCUGAGCUCACUCGAGGGCCGGAACCUGAGGACGUAGAGCACUAAGGAGAGCAUGAGGGGAGGGAAACUUGUAUGGGCCGGCCUAGCUAUGCCGCAUGAGUAGGCGCGCAGCCCUAGCGCAACGUCAGGAGUCGCCAUGAAGUCAACAAGAUAAGUCCCGCCCUCGGAUUGGCUAGAUGUUUGGGCUUAAUGGUCCUUCAUGCCUCGCCACAACCCCGUUGCGGCCACGUUAACUCCCUUUCUCGCCUUACCAUGGCUGCUUGAGCGCUAAUGGGGACCUCCUGAGCAUCGCGCCUCAGGGGCUCUUACUGGACCUCGGGCCGCACACCUCCUGGCCUUGACCACGGCACGCGACCAGGCAUACCAGCGACGGCUGUAGCCGCCUGGGGACCGGGACCUAUCAGCGCAGAGCAACAAGCCAUCGCGAGGAAAGAAAGGGGGGACCGAGCCUUAACGGGACACGCAUUCGCUAAGUUUUCAUAACAAGGAAGACAAGUACAAAAGACAUUGCAGAUCCUUACAUGCCCCACGGGGUGAUUCAUGAUUCUUUGCAGGAAAUAAAAGCUAAUACUAAGGGGAAUCCUAUCUACACCCUUCCGUGGCGGACGCCAUCAUCAACAGUGGGCCAUGGGAGGCUGGCUCCAACCCCAUCCAGAUCAGUGGCGGCGACGGCCGGACGCCGCAGCUCUGCUCCGAGCGCGGUGAGAGCUCAGGGGCACGUAGCUAUCAUCGCUCGUCUCCGGAGUAUCAUAAAGCUCAGGAGAGCUGCUGGACUCCCAAGGGCUGCUACUGCAGGAGUGGCCGCGAGCGGAGCGCGUGUCAGUUUGGCGCUCCUCUCCAGAGCAGCACUCCAGGUGGCGGCCCUCGGCGUCGAAGACCUUGAAGAAGAGCGUGGAAGCGCCGUCGUAGUCGAAGUGGAUUGCGAGGGCGCCCCUCGCAUGAAAGACCCGUGCGAUCUCCCCCCAGCCGCGGGUCAUGAAGAUCUUGCCGGUGGGAACCACUUCGAUCUCCGCUCCGGUCGCUGGAGCGCUGCAGUCGGUGUGCAGCAACCAGAGCUCGAGAGGCCCCCUCGGCGGCAUCACGUCGGAGAAGAACCGCGGGAAGCGGAUCCAGGAGGUUGGAGGCAUCGGCGCCCACAGCACCAGCUCGCGCGAGGACUCUGCGGCGUGGAUUUCGCGGGCGAUGGCGCACGUCGCCGUGGCGCGGCAAACCCGGGCGCGGCGCGGGCGGCGCUGCACGUCGCCCCGUCCUCCCGAGCCCUCGGCUCGGGCGUACAAGGGUAGCGGGUACCCCGGAGGAGGCCGCUCGCACCAAGGCCUCGACACCACCUGCAUCGCCACCUCAUCACGGUGAUGGAUCGACCUCUUCUUCGGCGGAAGUGGCCCCGGAUCAUCACGGGGAGCCUUUCCUUUCUCUUCGGCAGAAAACCUUCUGAUCGGCGCCAAUGUUAUCAGCAGUGGAGCAGGGAGGAAGAAGCAAGCAAGCAAGGAAGAGAUGGGCGACGGGGGCUCCGCCCCCUCCCCAUUUAUAGCAAGAGAAGGCCAACCGGCGUCUCCCACGAUCGCAGGUAAUGAUGGUUUUUCUUGCAUGUCGCGGGGACUUGUCAAGUCGUGCAGUUGUCGAGGCAGCGUGGGGAAGCGGAGACGCCCACGUCCAAUCAACCGCCACGCGUCAACCGAGGCCGCGGGCUUUUGGGGCCCGCGGUGCUCCGAACUUGACCCUUGGCUUUGCCGCGAAGCCAAGCCCGAGCGCACCUUGGGCCCAGGGGCUACUGUCGGCGUUCUGGGAACGGGGGUCCCCAGACUUGCCUGCCUGCGGCCCACGGCGUGGCUAAGUAAGCAGGCCGUACGGCCCAUCUUCAUCAACAAGGCAUCCAAGAUCCUCGCGAGGGUCCAAGCCUCGCGAGGCGGACGACGCAAGACCUCCUCUGGAGUGGCCUAGCCAGGCAGGCUCACAAGGAACGGAGAUAUCAAGGCGGGGCAAACCUCACGAGGCUCUCGUGACGUGAGCCAUGACGAACGACACCAGGCGGGCGCCAGCGCGCGCAGCGUCCUUAUUUCCUCUUUGGUGCUAAGGAGGCCAGCGCACGCGAAGAGUACCGAGGCAUCAGGCAAAGGUUCCUAUAUUGGUGCAACGAGACCGAGACCAGGAGGACGGCAAGACGAGGUCAUCGUGGAGCCCAAGAUGGUGUCACCACCAGAGCUUUUCGCAGGCGAAGACCACUUUUGUCAGGAUAGCUUGUACUAGUUGUCCCCCUUCAAAUUUUCCUGCCGUUGUUGGCUCCCUUCCCACUCGAUAUUUGGGAAGAGUACAAGGCCCUAUAUAAGUAGAGCUAGCCACCAUAGUAGGGGCAUCUCAUCUUAGCUUGAUCCAACCCGAUCGAGAGCCGACCCUAGCCACAAGAAGACCUCAACCUCAGGGGGCUGUUCUUCCCUUGUACUGUUCAUCAUCAGCCCUAGAGGCAAUCCACCACCACCACACUGGAGUAGGGUAUUACACCACAACGGUGGCCCGAACCAGUAUAAACCUCGUGUCUUUCUAUGUUGCGAGUUCGUCGAGUUCGUCCACGAGAUCUUAGCGAGCUAGGGCGUAGAUCGGUAGGAGGGAAAGACUUCGCGCGCACCCCAGUGUUCGAACCUUAAGGGUUUGCCGGAACCCCACAUCCGACAACGUUACCUCUACAUCUACCUUCGGGAUUAGUUUUAGACCUAAAUAAUUGUUAUUUGGUGCCAGCGUUGAGCAUGAACAUUAUAUCUGGAUCUUGUUUGAUGCGAGACGGUUAUUCAUUUAAAUCAGAGAAUAAUGGUUGUUCUAUUUAUAUGAGUAAUAUCUUUUAUGGUCAUGCACCCUUGAAGAGUGGUCUAUUUUUGUUGAAUCUCGAUAGUAGUGAUACACAUAUUCAUAAUAUUGAAGCCAAAAGAUGCAGAGUUGAUAAUGAUAGUGCAACUUAUUUGUGGCACUGCCGUUUAGGUCAUAUUGGUGUAAAGCGCAUGAAGAAACUCCAUACUGAUGGACUUUUGGAACCACUUGAUUAUGAAUCACUUGGUACUUGCGAACCGUGCCUCAUGGGCAAGAUGACUAAAACGCCGUUCUCCGGAACUAUGCAGCGAGCAAUAGAUUUGUUGGAAAUCAUACAUACAGAUGUAUGUGGUCCGAUGAAUGUUGAGGCUCGCGACGGGUAUCGUUAUUUUCUCACCUUCACAGAUGAUUUAAGCAGAUAUGGGUAUAUCUACUUAAUGAAACAUAAGUCUGAAACAUUUGAAAAGUUCAAAGAAUUUCAAAGUGAAGUGGAAAAUCAUCGUAACAAGAAAAUAAAGUUUCUACGAUCUGAUCGUGGAGGAGAAUAUUUGAAACAAUGUGGAAUAGUUUCGCAACUCACGCCACCCGGAACAACACAGCGUAAUGGUGUGUCUGGACGUCGUAAUCGUACUUUACUAGAUAUGGUGCGAUCUAUGAUGUCUCUUACUGAUUUACCGCUAUCAUUUUGGGGUUAUUCUUUAGAGACGGCUGCAUUCACGUUAAAUAGGGCACCAUCAAAAUCCGUUGAGACGACGCCUUAUGAACUAUGGUUUGGCAAGAAACCAAAGUUGUCGUUUCUUAAAGUUUGGGGCUGCGAUGCUUAUGUGAGAAAGCAUUAACCUGAUAAGCUCGAACCCAAAUCGGAGAAAUGUGUCUUCAUUGGAUACCCAAAGGAAACUGUUGGGUACACCUUCUAUCACAGAUCUGAAGGCAAGACUUUUGUUGCUAAAUUUGGAUCCUUUCUAGAGAAGGAGUUUCUCUCGAAAGAAGUGAGUGGGAGGAAAGUAGAACUUGAUGAGGUAAGUGUACCUGCUCCCUCGUUGGAAAGUAGUUCAUCACAGAAACCGGUUCCUGUGACACCUACACCAACUAGUGAGGAAGUUAACGAUAUUGAUCAUGAAGCUUCAGAUCAAGUUACUACCGAACCUCGUAGGUUAACCAGAGUGAGAUCCGCACCAGAGUGGUACGGUAAUCCUGUUCUGGAGGUUAUGUUACUAGACCAUGACGAACCUACGAACCAUGAAGAAGCGAUGGUGAGCCCAGAUUCCGCGAAAUGGCUUGAGGCCAUGAAAUCUGAGAUGGGAUCCAUGUAUGAGAACAAAGUGUGGACUUUGGUUGACUUUCCCGAUGAUCGGCAAGCCAUUGAGAAUAAAUGGAUCUUCAAGAAGAAGACUGACGCUGACAGUAAUGUUACUGUCUACAAAGCUCGACUUGUUGCAAAAGGUUUUCGACAAGUUCAAGGGAUUGACUACGAUGAGACUUUCUCACCCGUAGCGAUGCUUAAGUCUGUCCGAAUCAUGUUGGCAAUUUGUCAGGACCAGAUUUUCGGGAUAUUAAUUUUCCAAAAUGGCCCUUGUGCUCACCAGCCCCAGGAUUACUGUUAGCUGAUAAGGCACCAACUUGAUACAGACAAUCCAAGCAAGGUACAAAAUAUGUAGUACAAUACCAUUGUGGCCUAUGAGUACAACACUUGGUUUCUAGUGGUUGAUAGCGGAAGCGGUUUGUGGUUCAUCUGCGUCUAUGGGACUCCAUUUCCCGCAGGAACAGCUGACCAGGAUAACUCCUAUCUUCGCGAGGCUGCUAUCUCCAUUUGCGUAGGUUCAGGGGCUAUCAUCGCAAUGUUCCUCUCCACGCAAGAGAUCUGGCCAAGACAAUAGCCAGGGACAAGCCAGUGAGUACUUUUGAAUGUACUCGCAAACAUUAUGAACACGGGUAUAAUAUGACAAGGGAUAAUCAUGCUCCGAAAUAUUUUAUGAUCAUAACGUCCGUCACGAAAUAAACAAAAUCCAUGAUGCACGCAUGCGGGUAAAAUAUGAAUAUGCAAUACGGGAGUAGAAAUAGAAUGCUCCGAUCGAGUGUCUGAAGCGACGCCUCGAAAGGAUAAAAGAUAAAUCAUGCCUCAGUCGGGCGUCUGAGCGACACCACAUAAAGGGCUUAUAGAUAAAAGAAAUAACAAGCAUGCCACAGUUGGGCGUCUAUGCAACACCACAUAAAGGGCUUAUAAUAUACAAGGAAUAGCAAGCAUGCCACAGUCGGGCGUCUAUGCGACACCACAUAAAGGGCUUAUAAGAGAAUAAUCGCAGUGAGUAUCCAGAAGGUAGAACCGUCCCAGGGAUACUCAAUAAUUCAAAUAAUGUAAAUGGUUAGUCCACAAUAAUAAUAAUCAUAAUCCUCAUAUGUCACAGGUCAUAAUCAAAGCUCUGGUUGAGCAGUUUUUCCUUCGAAGACCGACACUAAGACUGACAUUAGACCCAUCUCAGACUGUAGUCCUUACCCAUGGACGUGGCUAUCCGAAUAGAUUUAACCUCUGCAGAGGGUGUACUCUUUACCCACGAGUAACGGAUUUAUUUAGUCCAUCGGGACUAAUUCCGUCUACGGUCUUUUAAUCGAAAACACACCUGACCCGCACACACCAGCUUAACUUACCGGCGUCUGGAAUCACCCACGACACCUGUCAAGCAAAACUCUAAGUGGGGAGGCUACAACCUCGACUUAGCAUGGGAUCAAAUUUAUAUCGCGCGCUCUAAGGGGUGCCCCCCUCUCGGUCCCAACCGGAAACACCCAUGCCCCCGGACCAGGUGGCAUGCCUACCGGAUGCAUCCGGUAUCUUCCACCAUGGCCUCUCUGUACGGUGUGUGCUAGGAAGGGGUUGACAACUUACUGAACCGUACCCUACCUGCGGCAGGGACAAGUGGUAGUACGAAACAAGUAUGGGGGUUACUGGAACAAGACUCGAUCUACGGCCGACUCAGGAGGUUCAAGUAUUCCCUGUAUGAUUAGCAUAACAAAUAUAUAUCAACUAACAGACAGAAUCACCGCUCAUCAUACCUCAUCGUGCCAUACCGGACCCACUCGUCUCGACGAGUAACUGGGGACAAGCUCGUGUCUACCCAAGACAGCGACUCUCCCGGCUUCCUUCCGGUAUGCAUGAAAAGCUUACGAGGAUGAUUACUAUCACAAGCAUACCCAUUUCUAACAGCAAAGAAUCCUCAUUAUGUACUCAUGCGUAUGAUCGUAUCGUUACAUAAAAUAACGAAUGCUCCAUGCCAAGGUGGUGUUGUGACCGUAUCAAAGAACACACAAAAAUAUUAUGCCAGGGUUCAGAAUGCUUGCCUUCAGGUUGUGGAGAGGAAGGGUGCAUUCCAAAACUUUUGAAAGUUUUCUUCUCUCUCCAUUUCCUAUUUUAAAAAAAUAUUCAAAAACAUAUAUUUCCAAAACAGCACAAAAAGUUGUCCUAAAUAUUUUUGAAAUAAAUCUUAAAAUAAACUAGAUGAAAUCUGAGGGAGGUAGGAAAAAGAAUCAACUCAUUUGAAGUUUUAUUUAAAAAGAUAUAGCCAGUCAAAGUUCUGUUUUAAAAUAAAACAGAAAAAGAAAACGUUUCGGAGGGGCUUACGCUUUCUGUUUAGCGAAAAACAUAUUUUGUGAAAUACGCCUCCACUUAAAACACACGUCGGCGGGGCUGGGUCGCUGACAGUGGGUCCAGCGGGCCCACUGGUCAGGUUUGACCAGCCCCCCGCCUUCUUCCUUCUCUGUCCGAGCCGAGGCGGGGGCUCCGGCGAUCCUCGCCGGCGAACGGUGCUCCUCGAUGGCAUCCGAGGGCGGGGAUGGAUCCGCCAGUCCAGGGCGGUCCUCUCGGUGGUCGAGAGGGUGGCGGGGACGAAGGGAGUCGCCGGCGGCGAGCUUUGCGGCGGACGGCGUCUCGGGAGGAUUUGGGGUUUCGAGCUAUGGUGGUUCUUGGUCGCGUUUGAGAGGCUGGGCGGCUCCGUGAGGUCGAGGGGAGGAGGAUGGUGGCACUAGAUGGGCGGGGAAGGCUAUGACUGCGACAAAUUGAACCGGAGCGUGGCGGCGGCCGAACUGGCCGGAGACGGGGAAGAAAGCUUCCCACCGUCGCUUGCUGGCCGUGGGGGCACUGCUGGGGUGCAAGGAGGUUGUCUGAGUGCAGGGACGGGCUCGGGGGCUCCUAUUUAUAGGGGUCGAGGUCGGUUCUCGUGGAGGCCGUGGAUAAGAACGCCGGCGACCGCUGUUCUGUAGCUGCAGGACGACGUGGCGGCGACGAGCGCGUGCCGACGAGCUUGCGGACGAGCUCGGGCUGUUCCAAGGGGCAGCUGGCGCGCGCGGGUGGCUUGGGCGGCGCCGUCCAUGGCAGAGCCUGCUGUGGCCGGCCGCUAGCCGCCGUGGCCGACCUGACGGCGGCACUGUGGGCUCCAGGGGCGGCUCUGCGGUGAGGGAAGGGGCGGGCGUGCUGGCUGUGGGUAGGGAAGGGCCAGAAUGAGCGCGAGGCGAUGGCAGAGGGACGCGGCGACUCGGUGCGCGCGCGUGCAAAACGUGCGCUCUGGGCGCGCCCAGAGCGUGCACGCCAACUGUUUGGCAAAAUGCCAAUGUGUGCCACAGGGCUUGGGUGAGGCUGGCAAUUAGCAGACCUAGGUUAGGAGUAGCUAGGAUCUUAGUGGACAAGGUUACUGGGUCAGUGGAUUAAGUACACAGUGCAAACUAAAAAAUCAUGUCAAAACUGACUAUGCACACCAAGUGUUUGACAAAAUGACAAGGGCUUCUAGACAACUCUUAUAGUGGCCAAAAUCUCCAGAUCAGGGUCUCCCUAGAUGUAGGUGAUGAUGGCAAAAUCAUUUGGGCAAAACCAGAAACUUGCUAGUGCAGUUACAAGGUGUGAAGUUGAGUCAAACUCAAUGCCCGACCACUGCAAAAGAUAGAGAGAAAAUGAAAGAUGUUCCCUAUGCUUCAGCCAUAGGCUCUAUCAUGUAUGCAAUGCUGUGUACCAGACCUGAUGUGUGCCUUGCUAUAAGUUUAGCAGGGAGGUACCAAAGUAAUCCAGGAGUGGAUCACUGGACAGCGGUCAAGAACAUACUGAAAUACCUGAAAAGGACUAAGGAUAUGUUUCUCGUUUAUGGAGGUGACAAAGAGCUAGUCGUAAAAGGUUACGUCGAUGCAAGCUUUGACACUGAUCCGGACGAUUCUAAAUCACAAACCGGAUACGUGUUUAGAUUGAACGGUGGAGCUGUCAGUUCGUGCAAUUCUAAACAAAGCGUUGUGGCGGGAUCUACGUGUGAAGCGGAGUACAUAGCUGCUUCGGAAGUAGCAAAUGAAGGAGUCUGGAUGAAGGAGUUCAUAUCCGAUAGGUUUCAUACCUAGUGCAUCGGGUCCAAUGAAAAUCUUUUGUGACAAUACUGGUGCAAUUGCCUUGGCAAAGGAAUCCAGAUUUCACAAGAGAACCAAGCACAUCAAGAGACGCUUCAACUCCAUCCGGGAUCAAGUCCAGGUGGGAGACAUAGAAAUUUGCAAGAUACAUACGGAUCUGAAUGUUGCAAAUCCGUUGACUAAGCCUCUUCCACGAGCAAAACAUGAUCAGCACCAAGGCUCCAUGGGUCUUAGAAUCAGUACUGUGUAAUCUAGAUUAUUGACUCUAGUGCAAGUGGGAGACUGAAGGAAAUAUGCCCUAGAGGCAAUAAUAAAGUUAUUAUUUAUUUCCUUAUAUCAUGAUAAUUGUUUAUUAUUCAUGCUAGAAUUGUAUUAACCGGAAACAUAAUACUUGUGUGAAUACAUAGACAAACAGAGUGUCACUAGCAUGCCUCUACUUGACUAGCUCGUUGAUCAAAGAUGGUUAUGUUUCCUAGCCAUAGACAUGAGUUUUCAUUUGAUUAACGGGAUCACAUCAUUAGGAGAAUGAUGUGAUUGACUUGACCCAUUCCGUUAGCUUAACACUUGAUCGUUUUGUAUUCUGCUAUUGCUUUCUUCAUGACUUAUACAUGUUCCAAUGACUAUGAGAUUAUGCAAUUCCCGUUUACCGGAGGAACACUUUGUGUGCUACCAAACAUCACAACAUAACUGGGUGAUUAUAAAGGUGCUCUACAGGUGUAUCCGAAGGUACUUGUUGGGUUGGCAUAUUUCGAGAUUAGGAUUUGUCACUCCAAUUGUCGGAGAGGUAUCUCUGGGCCCACUCGGUAAUGCACAUCACUAUAAGCCUUGCAAGCAAUGUGACUAAUGAGUUAGUUGCGGGAUGAUGUAUUACAAAAUGAGUAAAGAGACUUGCCGGUAACGAGAUUGAACUAGGUAUUGAGAUACCGACGAUCGAAUCUCGGGCAAGUAACAUACCGAUGACAAAGGGAACAACGUAUGUUGUUAUGCGGUUUGACCGAUAAAGAUCUUCGUAGAAUAUGUGGGAGCCAAUAUGAGCAUCCAGGUUCCGCUAUUGGUUAUUGACCGGAGACGUGUCUCGGUCAUGUCUACAUAGUUCUCGAACCCGUAGGGUCCGCACGCUUAAAGUUCGAUGACGGUUAUAUUAUGAGUUUAUGUGGUUUGAUGUACCGAAGGUUGUUCGGAGUCCCGGAUGUGAUCACGGACAUGACGAGGAGUCUCGAAAUGGUCGAGAUGUAAAGAUCGAUAUAUUGGACGACUAUGUUCGGACACCGGAAUGGUUUCGGGGAGUUUCAGACACAUACCGGAGUACCGGGGGGUUACCGGAACCCCCCGGGGAGACUAAUGGGCCUAUUGGGCCCUAGUGGAGAAGAGGAGGGGCGGCCAAGGGCAGCCGCGCGCCCCUUCCCCCCUAGUCCGAAUUGGACAAGGAGGGGGGCGGCGCCCCCCUUUCCUUUCCCCCUCUCUCUCCUUCCCUCUCCUCUCCUACUCCCACUUGGAAGGGGGGAGUCCUACUCAUGGGGCGCGCCUAGGGUGGCCGGCCCCCUCCCCCUCCUCCACUCCUUUAUAUACGGGGAGGGAGGCACCCCUUGGAAACACAACAAUUGAUCUCUUGGAUCUCUUAGCCGUGUGCGGUGCCCCCCUCCACCAUAAUCCACCUCGAUAAUAUCGUAGCGGUGCUUAGGCGAAGCCCUGCGUCGGUAGCACAUCAUCAUCGUCACCACGCCGUCAUGCUAAUGGAACUCUCCCUCAAAGCUCGGCUGGAUCGGAGUUCGAGGGACGUCAUCGAGUUGAACGUGUGCAGAACUCGGAGGUGUCGUGCGUUCGGUACUUGAUCAGUCGGAUCAUGAAGACGUACGACUACAUCAACCGCGUUGUGCUAACGCUUCCGCUUUCGGUCUACGAGGGUACGUGGACACACUCUCCCCGCUCGUUGCUAUGCAUCACCAUGAUCUUGCGUGUGCGUAGGAAUUUUUUUGAAAUUACUACGUUCCCCAACAAUAAGUGCAAACUUCUCCGAUAUAGUGUAGUCGGGAGAAUUCAAAAAGAUAAUAGGACUAUCAUGCGUGGGUGCAAUAGCAACAAUUUCAUGUUUAACAUAAGGAACUAUAGCAAGUUCAUCUCCAUAAGCAUAAUUCAUAUUGGCAUCUUGGCCACAAGAAUAGCAAGCAUCAAGUUCAUCAAAAAGGGAUAUUUCAAACGAAUCAACGGGAUCAUAACAAUCAUCAUAGCAUUUAUCCUUCGGUAAGAACGAAGGGACAUUAAAUAAUGUAUGAGUUGGAGAGUUACUCUCAUUAGAAGGUGGGCACGGGUAGCUAAUCCGAUCUUCCUCCUUUUGUUCUUCGCUCUCCUCAUCAUCUUUUUCAUCCAAUGAGCUCACAGUUUCAUCAAUUUCUUCUUCCAUAGACUCCUGCAAAAUAUUAGUCUCUUCUUGGACAGCGGAGACUCUCUCAAUAAAAUCAUCAAUAUCGGAAUUGAAUUCAUAAUUCUCAUAGCAAUAUUUAAGUUUAGCAAAAUUUUCAGGUCUGUAAACAGCAUCAUCAAAAUCUUCAAACUCUUUAAACAAAGAUUCAAUUUCACAUGCACCCUUAAAAGCAACAAAUUCUUCUAUUCGCUCCACAUCAUAGUAAUCAUAUAUACCUCUAUCAUAAGAAGCUAAGGUUUCAUUAUCAUUAAAUUUGUAUGAAAAGGGAAGGUGUGGAGCCUUCAUCCUAGAGCAACAAGUAUAAUAAUAUCUCAAGCAUAGUUGCCUAGCAUACCAAUACAACAUAUAAAUUUGAUCCCAUAAUAGUUUCCUUUUUGAGUCAAGCGAUAAUCCCUAAAGUAUUCACGUUGAUCCAACGUGUCUCCCAUAACAUAAUUGAAUGGGGUUUUCUCAGGAUUAUUAAAGUAGUACAUAAUAUCUUUCACAUAAUGAGCAUCGAGGGUUUUAGGAGGUUCCCCAUCUCCAUGAGUAGCAAGUAAACCUAAUUUUUUGGUAUUUCGUGUUCCAUAUCCAUAACUAAAGAUAAAGAACAACUUAGAACAACAAAUAAAAACUACUUAGUGAUAAAGCAAACAAGCACACAUGAGAAUAUUCACCCCACGCUAUAACUCCCCGGCAAUGGCGCCAGAGAAAAGUCUUGAUAACCCACAAGUAUAGGGGAUCAAUUGUAGCCUCUUUCGAUAAGUAAGAGUGUCGAACCCAACGAGGAGCUAAAGGUAGAACAAAUAUUCCCUCAAGUUCUAUCGACCACCGAUACAACUCUACGCACGCUUUACGUGCGCUUUACCUAGAACAAGUAUGAAACUAGAAGUACUUUGUAGGUGUUGUUGGAUAGGUUUGCAGGAUAAUAAAGAGCGCGUAAAUAAAAACUAGGGGCUGUUUAGAUAACGAAGCAAUAAAGUUAGUAUAGCGAGUGUGGAAAAGUGGUGGUAGGAGUUGUGAAAUUGUCCCUAAGCAAUUGACUACUUUACUAGACCGAUAGCAAGUUUUAUGUGGGAGAGGCCACUGCUAGCAUGUCAUCCCUGACUUGGAAUUCUAUGCACUUAUGGUUGGAACUAUUAGCAAGCAUCCGCAACUACUAACGUUCAUUAAGGUAAAACCCAACCAUAGCAUUAAGAUACAUUGGUCCCCCUUCAAUCUUGUAUGCAUCAAUUUCUAUGCUAGGUUGAAGCUUCUGUCACUCUUGCCCUCCAAUACAUAGUCCUAUCAACAUACAACUAACCCUAUGGUGUGAUCCAUGCGCGCGCUCAUAUGAUGGGCACCAAAGGACAACAACAUAACCACAAGCAAAUUAAACCAAUCAUAGCAAUUCACCAAUUACCGGUAGGACAACGAAAAUCUACUCAGACAUCAUAGGAUGGCAACACAUCAUUGGAUAAUAAUAUGAAGCAUAAAGCACCAUGUUCAAGUAGAGGGUACAGCGGGUUGCGGGAGAGUGGACCGUUGUAGAUAGAUGGGGGAAGGUGAUGAAGAUGUUGGUGAAGAUGAUGGAGGUGUUGGUGUAGAUCGCCGUCACACGAUGAUGGCCCCGGCGGCGUUCCGGCGCCACCAGAAGAGAGGGGAGAGAGCCCCCCCUUCUUCUUCUUCUUCUUCCUUGACCUUCUCCCUAGAUGGGAGAAGGGUUUCCCCUCUGGUCCAUGGCCUCCAUGGCAUGGGAGGGGCGAGAGCCCCUCCGAGAUUGGAUCUGUCUCUCUGUCUCUCUCUGUUUCUGCGUUCCAGAUUCUGGCCUUUCACCGUUUCUUAUAUUCCCGGAGAUCCGUAACUCCGAUUGGGCUGAAUUUUGGAAACGAUCUCUAUCCGGAUAUUAGCUUUCUUGCGGCGAAAGAAGGGCACCAACCGCCUUACGGGGUGGACACGAGGGCCCAGGGCGCGCCUGACCCCCUGGGGCGCGCCCCCCUGCCUCGCGGCCCCCUCGGGCAUCGUAUCGCGUUGAUUCUUCUUCCCAAAAAUCACAUAUAUUCCAAAAAAAAUCUCCGUCAGUUUUUAUCCCGUUUGGACUCCGUUUGAUAUGGAUUUUCUGUGAAACAAAAAAACAUGCAACAAACAGGAACUGGCACUGGGCACUGGAUCAAUAUGUUAGUCCCAAGAAAUAGUAUAAAAAGUUGCCAAAAGUAUGUAAAAGUUGUAGUAUAUUGGCAUGGAUCAAUCAAAAAUUAUAGAUACGAUGGAGACGUAUCACUCGACACCCUCUUCGCCCAUCACCACUUCCGCUGCGGCCCGCCCGGCUGCCUCCUCCUCUGGCUCCGCAGCCGCCACCGUUGCCUCUGGCCCCGCNNNNNNNNNNNNNNNNNNNNNNNNNNNNNNNNNNNNNNNNNNNNNNNNNNNNNNNNNNNNNNNNNNNNNNNNNNNNNNNNNNNNNNNNNNNNNNNNNNNNNNNNNNNNNNNNNNNNNNNNNNNNNNNNNNNNNNNNNNNNNNNNNNNNNNNNNNNNNNNNNNNNNNNNNNNNNNNNNNNNNNNNNNNNNNNNNNNNNNNNNNNNNNNNNNNNNNNNNNNNNNNNNNNNNNNNNNNNNNNNNNNNNNNNNNNNNNNNNNNNNNNNNNNNNNNNNNNNNNNGGCCCCCGCUGCUGGCCCGGUCGCUGCCACGGGCCCGGCUGCCCCCGCCGGUCCGGCUCUCGGUGUGACGACCCGCGCUCGGGCUGGUGUUCAUCGGUCCAGCACGCGCUACUCCUCCGAUGAGUAUGUGUGCGCUGCCUCCACAUCGACGCCGUCACCCAUCCCUACCUCCGCUCGCGCUGCCCUUGAGGAUCCCCAUUGGCUCACAACGAUGCAGGAGGAGUUCGACACCUUACAGCGCAACCGCACGUGGCAUCUUAUUCCGCGACCCCCUCGUGCCAAUGUCAUCACUAGCAAGUGGGUGUUCCGCCACAAGACCUGCCCAGAUGGUUCUCUUGAGCGCUACAAGGCUCGGUGGGUGGUUCGUGGCUUUUGGCAACGUGUGGGUGUGGACUUCACCAACACCUUCGAUCCGGUUGUGAGGGCACGAUCUGCACCAUGCUUCAGUUGGUGAUCUCACGAGCCUGGCCCGUGCAUCAGUUGGAUGUCUCCAACGCCUUCUUGCACGGUCAUCUUGCCGAGCAGGUAUUCUAUGAGCAGCCCACUGGUUUCAUCAACGCCGAGCAUCCGGACUUCGUGUGCUUGCUCUCCCAUUCUCUUUGCGGGUUGAAGCAGGCACCACGGUCUUGGUACCAGCGUAUCGCUGCCUUCCUGCAGUCUCUGGGCUUUCGGUCCACUCGCUCCGAUGCCUCACUCUUUGUGUAUCAUCAGUGAGCUGACACUGCAUAUCUGCUGCUCUACGUCGACGACAUCAUCCUCACGGUGUCCGCCCCUGAGCUCCUUCAGCGGCUCACGGCUCAUCUUCGUGAUGAGUUCGCCCUCAAGGACUUGGGGCCUCUGCACUACUUCCUCAGCAUCGAGGUGGUCCGUCGGGCUGACGGCUUCUUCCUGCAUCAGCAAAAGUACGCCCACGAGCUUCUGGAGCGUGCCGGCAUGCUUAACUGCAAGCCGGCGCCUACUCCUGUCGACACGAAGGCGAAGGUCUCUGCUCUGGAGGGGUCUCUCGCGUCCGAUGCAGCGUUUUAUCGCUCCAUUGUUGGUGCCUUACAGUACCUAACGCUGACCGACCAGACCUGCAGUAUGCUGUUCAGCAGGUGUGCCUCCACAUGCGCUCCCAGCGUGACUCCCAUUGGACCUUGGUGAAGUGUAUUCUCUGUUACAUACGCGACACUAUGUCCUUGGGUCUCACCCUGACGGUCUCCGCCUCCACCGACCUCGCUGCCUACUCAGACGCCGAUUGGGCAGGCUGCCCCGACACCCGACGCUCUAUGUUCGGCUAUUGCGUCUACCUUGGGCCCUCGUUGAUCUCUUGGUCAUUGAAGCGAUAGCCCAUGGUCUCCCGCUCCAGCGCCGAAGCAGAGUAUCGGGCCGUGGUCGAAUGCUCUUGGACCCGUCAGCUGCUCCAGGAGUUGCUUUGUGAUGUUCACAAGGCCACUCUUGUCUACUGCGUCAACGUCAGCGCCGUCUACAUCUCUGCCAACCCGGUGCACCAUCGUCGUACGAAGCAUAUUGAGCUUGAUAUUCACUUUGUGCGUGAGCAGGUUGCCCUUGGCCGUGUUCGGGUUCUCCAUGUUCCGACGACGCAACAAUUUGCUGAUAUGAUGACUAAGGGAUUGCCUACUCCCGUCUUUGAGGAGUUUCGGUCAAGUCUCUGUGCCUCCGGUGACACUUUGACUGCGGGGGGUGUUGAAUAUACAUGUGUUGCAUGUAUUUGUGUAUAUCCUGGCCCACCUCCUAGUUAUGUAUAGUUGGGGUUAAGGUCUGCUUAUACUCUAUAUAUACAUGCACCCGCACCCAAUCAAUACAACGAGUAUUGCAUUGCCAAACCAUCCCUCUAGAGUACCAAACAUGCCAUACGUAUUCUGCUCCAUAGAGCAUAAGAAGACCAUUAGUUUCACCCCGGAGCACAUGCUGUUAGGUGCAGAUUUGAAUUACUGCAAGUGAAAUAUGCUACUUCCAGUGAUCCAUAGAGUUGUACUAAAGUUAUCAUAAUUAAUAUGGAUCGGAGAGAGUAAGAUAAUUGACAUGUACGAACAUAAAUUUCAUUUAGAUAGAUGAGACUUCUCUGCAACUAGGCCUAUGACAAGAACUUAUUCCUGCGCGGCACUAGUUUUAUUUACCCAUCACCUCACUGAAAAAGGCUGAGAUGGAAUUUACUCAACGAGCAUGCGUUUUCUAUAGCAAUUAGAUUACUAGUAGAAAACGGGGCAAAGGUCACAGGGCAGUUUUCACAUUAGCCCCGGUUCAGUCACGAACCGGGACCCAUGGGGGCAUUCGUCCCGGUUCGUGAGCCCAGGGGGCCGGCCGGGGCCUCGUGGGCAUUGGUCCCGGUUCGUAUGGAACCAUUUGUCCCAGUUCGAGCCACGAACCGGGACUAAUGGUCCUCGCUCCUGGACCACAACCAUUUGUCCCGGUUCUUGGCAUGAACCGGGACAGAAGGCCCGGAUUUAGUACCGGUUCAUGCCACGAACCGGGACCAAUGAGGUGCCUAUAUAUACCCCAUCGCCACGGCAGAGCACUCCACAGUGCUCUGUUUUUUUCUGGCCGGCGAGGGGAGGGCUUUGUGGUGCUCUAGCUCACCUCCUAUGCACAUGAGGUGUUCGAUGAAAUGCCCGAGCCACACUAGUUAAUCUUUCUCCUCUCGAAACUCGACCUCCGAGCUCCAUUUUCCUCGAGAUUUGUCUAGGUUUAGCGGCCCAUCACGUCCCAUUCCCGUCUUCACCGCCGUCGACCGCCCGCGCCGAUCUCGUCGCCGGCAACACCGUGGUGAGCCUCUUGUUCUUAUCUUCUUUUUGAAAGAAAAAAUUCUUACUUUAGAUAGAUACUUGUCUAAUUUUCUUACUAUUUUAUUCCUUCUUAUUACAUAGUGCGAUGGUUUUGGUAUCCGCCCCCGUCGGCCCUCGUCCUGUCUAUGAUUCAGAUGUGGUAUAUAUUAUCUUUUUAUAACUAUUUGAUUCAUUUAUUGUUUAUGACAAAUAUACCGACCAGCGUGACAUAGAUUUUAUUUAUCUAGGAGGUGGUUGAACCGGAAAUUCUAACCGACCCUAUUGUCGAGAGGUUAAAUUUAUUUGAAGAAGAAAACAAUUACUUGAAGGAAAAAAUAAAAAAAUUGAGGAGGAGAAGAUGAUAUUGGAGUUGCAUGUUGCGGAUGUCAUCGAUGAUCACAAGAUCAAGAUGGAUGCAAUGCGCUUGAAGAUUAGAAAGAUUAGAAAAUAUGCCAUUCAUACCGAGGCUUGGUAUCAUUAUGCCAUUGGAUCAAUUGUUACCUUGGUUGCGAUUAUGAUCACAUUUGUUUUCGCAUUGAAAUAUUUUACAUAGUUUCAAUGUAUGGUUUAAUUAAUUAGAUGCUCUGGAGAGCUAUAUAUAUGUUGUUAGAUGAGAACUAUGUAUGUACUUUGGUUCUAAUGUGAUGAUGAACUUCUAUUAAUUUGGUCACUUAAUUAUCUAUUCAUGAUGUUCUGUAAUGGUUUUUGACACACUUAAUUAUAUAUAAUGCACGCAGAUGAACCGGCAAUGGAUGUACGGUGACAGACACACCUCCGAGUACAUUAAGGGCGUGCAUGAUUUUCUCGAAGUGGCUGAGGCAAACAAGCAGAAUGGUUUUAUGUGUUGUCCAUGCCCUACAUGUGGGAAUACGAAGUCUUACUCUGACCGGAAAAUCCUUCAUGCCCACCUGCUUUACAAGGGUUUCAUGCCACACUAUAAUGUUUGGACGAGGCACGGAGAAAUGGGGGUUAUGAUGGAAGACGGCGAAGAAGAAGAGGACGAUGAUAACUAUGUGCCCCCUGAAUACGGUGAUGCUGCAACGGGGAAGGCUGCUGAAGAUCAAGAGGAACCAGACGAUGUGCCCAAUGAUGCUGCAAGGGGGGAAGCUGCUGAAGAUGAAGAGGAACCAGUGCCCGAUGAUGAUGAUCUCCGCCGGGUCAUUGUUGAUGCAAGGACGCAAUGCGAAAGUCAAAAGGAGAAGCUGAAGUUCGAUCGCAUGUUAGAGGAUCACAAAAAAGGGUUAUACCCCAAUUGCGAAGAUGGCAACACAAAGCUCGGUACCGUACUGGAAUUGCUGCAGUGGAAGGCAGAGAAUGCUGUGCCUGACAAAGGAUUUGAGAAGCUAUUGAAAAUAUUGAAGAAGAAGCUUCCAAAGGAUAACGAAUUGCCCGACAGUACAUACGCAGCAAAGAAGGUCGUAUGCCCUCUAGGAUUGGAGGUGCAGAAGAUACAUGCAUGCCCUAAUGACUGCAUCCUCUAUCGCGGUGCGUACAAGGAUCUGAACGCAUGCCCGGUAUGCGGUGCAUUGCGGUAUAAGAUCAGACGAGAUGACCCUGGUGAUGUUGACGGCGAGCCCCCCAGGAAGAGGGUUCCUGCGAAGGUGAUGUGGUAUGCUCCUAUAAUACCACGGUUGAAACGUCUGUUCAGAAACGAAGAGCAUGCCAAGUUGAUGCGAUGGCACAGUGAGGACCGUAAGAAAGACGGGAAGUUGAGAGCACCCGCUGACGGGUCGCAGUGGAGAAAAAUCGAGAGAAAGUACUGGGCUGAGUUUGCAGCUGACCCAAGGAACGUAUGGUUUGGUUUAAGCGCGGAUGGCAUUAAUCCUUUCGGGGAGCAGAGCAGCAAUCACAGCACCUGGCCCGUGACUCUAUGUAUGUAUAACCUUCCUCCUUGGAUGUGCAUGAAGCGGAAGUUCAUUAUGAUGCCAGUUCUCAUCCAAGGCCCUAAGCAACCCGGCAACGACAUUGAUGUGUACCUAAGGCCAUUAGUUGAAGAACUUUUACAGCUGUGGACUGGAAACGGUGUACGUACGUGGGAUGAGCACAAACAGGAGGAAUUUAACCUGCACACGUUGCUGUUUGUAACCAUCAACGAUUGGCCCGCUCUCAGUAACCUUUCAGGACAGACAAACAAGGGAUACCACGCAUGCACGCACUAUUUAGAUGACACUGAAAGUAUAUACCUGGACAAAAGCAGGAAGAAUGUGUACCUGGGCCAUCGUCGAUUUCUUCCGACCAACCAUCAAUGUCGAAAGAAAGGCAAGCAUUUCAAAGGCGAGGCAGAUCACCGGAAGAAGCCCGCCAUGCGUACCGGUGAUCACGUACUUGCUAUGGUCAAUGAUUUACAUGUAAUCUUUGGAAAGGGUCCCGGCGGACUAGCUGUUCCGAAUGACGUUGAGGGACACGCACCCAUGUGGAAGAAGAAAUCUAUAUUUUGGGACCUACCCUACUGGAAAGAGCUAGAGGUCCGCUCUUCAAUCGACGUGAUGCACGUGACGAAGAACCUUUGCGUGAACCUGCUAGGCUUCUUGGGCGUGUAUGGGAAGACAAAAGAUACACCUGAGGCACGGGAGGACCUGCAACGUUUGCACAAAAAGACGGCAUGCCUCCGAAGCAGUAUGAAGGUCCUGCCAGCUACGCUCUUACGAAAUAAGAGAAAGAAAUCUUCUUUGAAUGCCUGCUCAGUAUGAAGGUCCCGACUGGCUUCUCGUCGAAUAUAAAGGGAAUAAUAAAUAUGCCAGAGAAAAAGUUUCAGAACCUAAUGAUCCGGGUAUGGUGCCCGGUUAUACCGAUCUUGGAGAUUACCUGCCCGACAAUGUACAUUAUGAAAUCAUGGAGGUGGACGAACACAAAUACCAUUACGGGAAGCCUCUCGUCAAAGAUGUCAAAUCUCUAAGCACGAUGAUGCGAAGACUACAUGAUUGGUACAUGAAAACCUGCAGAGAGUCUGAUGGGAUGAGUACUUUAACGCUGAGAGUUAAACCGGAGCAUGACCUCGUUGGAAUUGAACUGCUGAAUGUUCCAUUUGAGGAUUUCUUCCAGUUUUACAAUCUAAUGUCCCUCGAUAAAACAACGAUCACUUGCUACUGUCUGUAAGUAGUACUAAUUCUGUCAUUAAGUCUCUCUAUAUAGGUCAGCUCUUUCAUUGCAUGUAUUUAUACUUAUCCUCACUAUAUUAUGCAGAUUGAAGAUCGCCGAAUUGAAGAAAAGACAAAUCGGUGAUAUUGGGUUCAUUAACACAAAUCUCAUAGAUGAUUAUCAGGUUAAAUUUCAUGCCAAAGAAGCUGAGGCCAACUUGCUACAAUCGUUGCUAAUAAAUCAAAACAAAGAUAUAAUACUCUUUCCUUACAACUUCAAGUGAGUGUUACUGUCUUCUGCAUAUUCGGUUUCCCUUUAUUAGUCCAGGUUAUGGUAAUGUAAUUGAUGACUUAUGCAUGCAUGCGCAGCUUCCACUAUAUUCUCCUAGAGAUUAAGCUUGAGCCGGGAGUAGUAACCGUCUUAGACUCGAGACGAAAAGAUCCCCAGGACUAUGCGAACAUGACUCAAAUGCUCCAGAAGUAAGUUAAAUCGAUCAUUAUCCACCAUAUCAGCAACUUUGUUCAUUUCCUGAUAUCAAGUAAUUGUUUUCUUUGUCUGGCAGGGUUUGGAGAAAAUUCACCUCAAAAGCCCCGGGACUGCCGAACCAGCUGCAAUUUAGACACCCAAAAGUAAGUACUAUAGUAGCAUGUUCCGCGCAUCUCCUAGUGAUUCAAGCGCUAGUUUGAUCAAUACCAUUUAGCAUGCUUGCUUAUCAGUUUUAUUGACCUCUAUUUCUUGUAAAGUGGUUGUGGCAGCAACCCGGGAAUAAUUACUGUGGAUACUACAUUUGCGAGUCCAUCCGCUACCAUACCUGUGAGCGGGGCUACACUGAAGAACAAUAUGAAGUGCGUAAGCAAUAAUAUUCACAAUUUUAUUUUAUUACCAUCAUUUGUGUUGAGUUUCAUUUAUUCAUAUAUAUAUGUAUUGACCCCCUUCUUCAAAUUAGAUUUUUCGGAAGCGGGAUGAACUCCUAGCAUCAGAUCGUAUGCGAGGAAUUCAAGAGGAAUUGGCGGCAUUCUUCCUUGACCACGUGAUCGCUGAAAACGGAGAAUACUAUGUGGACCCUGUGUUCCUACAAUAUAAUUAGGAGAUUGUAUUGUAAGAGAUAAUUAUUGUAUAUAUGUAGCCGGUAGUGUCGGAUAGAUAUACGAGAACUUGUUGUUCGACCAAUAUCUCGGAGAAGGAGAGGUGGUCGAUAUCACUUCUCUCUGUAUGCAUAUAUAUAUGUUCAUGACGAUCUUCUGUUUCCUUCAUUUGAUUACUAGCUAGCGUGUCUACUCCUCUCCAUACGUAUAUAGUACGUAGCGUCGACAAAGCACGGAGAUAAAAGAGGCACUUCUCUCUAUUAAUUAGCUAGCUAACACAAUAUAUGAAACACCUAAAUUAACCCCCCAAAACCCCUAAACCACCCCCUUUCAAAAAAAACAAAAACCUCAGCUCCUGCCAGGUGCUGACGCGUGGAUGCCUAUUGGUCCCGGUUGGUGGCACCAACCGGGACCAAAGGCCCUCCUGCCUGGGCUCCCCGCACCGGCCACGUGGACGGCCUUUAGUCCCGGUUCGUGUAAGAACCGAGACUAAAGGGCUAGGGCAUUAGUAACGACCUUCUAGUCCCGGUUCAUGAACCGGGGUAAAAGCCCCUUUUCCUAUUAGAGGAUGGCAGCUCCAGCGGCUGACACAUCUUGUUGAUUUUAUAGCAUAAAUGUCUUCCGGUUGAUGUCGAACUUGUCGGACGAAGAGAGUUGAGGUUCCUGCACGCCACUGAAGUUCACCACCUUUCGGACGUGCGGUAAGAUCGACGCCGGGAGGUCGCAGUGGAUCUGGCUGUCGCGGUUGCAGUCUAAGAGGAUCGCCUUUGUCUUUUGAAGCAGCUGGCCGUAGGUGGGCGGCCGAUGCGCGAACCACGCCGCGGCGAAGAAGCUGUACGUCAGGGCUCCCAUGGCCAUGGUCUCAUGGCCGUAACCAUCCUGCGCAUCUUCGUCGUCGGUGCAGCCGCUGAUCAGGAUGGCGUGACCGCCGCUCGUGUUCUUCCAAGCGCCAUUCGGAGCGCUGUGAUCCAUCCACUGGGGUUUCCCGUUCCUAGAUAAUACGGUGAGAGUGUUAAUGGUAGUACAAUCAAUGGUGCACGCCUGAUUUACUGAAAGUAGUAGCAGUGGUACUUUUUUAUCUGGCAAAGGUUGGGGAGAUCAAGGACGGUGCCGCUGCGGCAGGCGUCGAUGAUGGCGUGGAGCCUGACGCCCUGCACGAGCGGGCGGACGAUGGCCUCGUUGAUCUCGUCGUCCACGAUGGCGCCGUUCAGCUGCCAAUCCAGCGGGCAGAUGCUCUCGUCCUGGCCGUCCUGCUCGUCGCCGUCCUUGUCUUCCUCCUGAUCGCCGUGGCCGGAGAAGUGGAACACAAGGGAGUCCCCGGAGCUGCACCCAUGCACCAGCCACCGCAUCGCCACUAGGAUGUUGGCCCUUGUUGGCCUCCUGUACGGGUCGCGCUCUUCAUCUGCGCGUAGCAUUAGCAAGAGCAAGGACAUGAACUCGAAGCACAGAGAAAACUUGGUGGAUGCGAUUCUUUCUCUUACCGGUAAGGACAAGGAUGCAAUCGCUUGGGAAGCCGUACUUGAGGGUGAGCAGGAAGCUCAUGCACUUGACAUCGUUGAUGGGGCCGGGCAGCUCGGCCGCCGUUCCGGUGUAGUUGAUGCCGACCAAGAGAGCGCGCUUGUUGCCGUACACCGGCGGGUAUCCCGGGUGCGGCCUCGCGCGGCCAAUGUUCGUGAACACGCUCCUGACGAAGCCGACGGCCCCGUGCACGACGGCGCCGUGCCGUUCGACGCGCGUCGCCCUGCGGCAGUGCGCGCACUGCACGGAGCUCGCGCCCCGCGUGACAGCCAAGCGCGCGCCGCACUGGCCGCACUCCAUGGCUAUGGCCAGCGGCUUGUUCUGCCUCUACCUCUGCCUUGCCUGCCUCAGUGACUCGGCUCCAUGUCCCUUUUAUAGUGGCCAAGUGAAGCGCAAAUGGCAUGGCUUUGCAUAGAUUGAACAUACAUUAGCAGGAGAAUCCCUUCCGGACUUCUAUAAUGGGAGAAUCGCAUGCACUGCAGCACGAUGGAGAUUAACAAAUUGACGGCGUGAAGAAGUUGGCAUAGGAUUCCGGCCGGUAACCACUGCCAUAAGAAAGAGAGAUAUGCGACAUUUCCCGUUGAAGUUCAGAACUUUGCUGGCUGAUAUAUUACAACUAGCACUAUUUGAUUUGCAAGCUAGGUUCCCCGCCUAGCUUGGCUACUCGUAUCAUUCCAAGGACUAGGCCACUAUCACCACGUUGGAGGGGGUAUGGUUCACGUUUCAGCCUUUUGUUUUCUUGUUUUGAGAAGAGGGAUAACAUACUCUCCAAAAAGAAGAGGGAUAACACAUCCUGGUUUCUACAUCAAUUGAUGCACACACCACUUAAUUAUUUAUGCAAAAUGUUUACAACAUCCAGAUAAUAAAGUUGACAUAAACACCACACUUGGCAACAAGAGAGAAAAUAACACAAAAGUAAAUAGAAGAUAUAAGGCUUUUUUUUCGAGAAUACGUCAAUGGCGUACCUUAUCUUUAUGGAAGGGAUCAAACGUAUUUACAAGAAACUUAAGGACAUGCGAACACUCCUCAAGCAAUACAACACAUCCACAACAAACUACCAAAUACAAAAGACUACUUUCUCACAAAACGUUGCAACCCUACCACUCCUACCCAUGCUGUCCUCCACUCUUGUAUCUCCUGCAAAAUUAGAUGUGUGAGAUCGCGCGCCGCUAGCACUUGGUUUGUCUGGUUGAACACCCUCACAUUGCGCUGCUUCCACAGAGCACAGGCCACCAAGAUUACCAAUGUGUCACCCUCUUUUUUGUGCCUUGUGGAAGUGCUUUCGCCCGGACAACCACCAUUGGAGAUAUGUAUCUUGAAUGUUUGGCCGAGGGACGUCCAAAUCCAGGGCAGAAAAGCAGCCCUCCCACACCUCUCUGGCAUACACACACUGGAUUAAGAUGUGUUCAACAUUGUCCUCAUUUUGCAAGCACGUGUAGCAAGGUGACGGUUGAUCUUGCAGCCCAUGUCGUGCUCUCCUGUCCGAGGUCCACAAGUGAUGUUGAACAGCCAGCCAUGCAAAAAAUUGCACUUGAGUAUUGCCCAGCUUUUCCAGAUACAAGCGGCAAAAGGAGAAGUGACUCCCCCGGCGCAGAGCCGAUGAUAUGUUGAUCUAGCCGUGUACACUCCUGAAGGAUCCGCAGGCCAAGAGAAUAUGUCAGGGCUACCUGCCUGCCGCUGAACCGUGUCAAUGGCCUGAUUCAGGUGCAAGAGUUGUAUGUGUGCGGUGAAAGAUAGAUCUCCUCUCACAUCCUGAGUCCAUCUGCUAGAAUCCAUAGCUUGCUCAACCGUGCACCUAUUUUUAACUCUGGUAUCCACUGCUGCCACAAUGGAAGGGGCAAUGUCCACAGCCCUCCCCCACCUCAAUGUGCACCAUGCUAUCGAACACCUGCCUGGCUUCCUCAUCCUCUGUCAUAGGAAUACCACUCCACGGCCUAGUGUCGUCAGUCCGGCGUAGCCACUCCCAUCGAACUCGUAGUGCAAGUGCCUGCAACUAUAGGUUUUUAACCCCUAGUCCUCCCAUGCUCAAAGGUCGGCAGGUGCUAUUCAAAGCCACAAGACAUUGACCACCAUUGAAUUUAUCCUUCCCAGCCCAAAAGAAGGCACGCAUGCUCCGAUCAAGCUCCUCGAACACCCAGGCAGGGGCAUCUGCCACCAGAAAGUGAUGGAUAGGUUUUGCCGCAAGAACUGAAUUCACCAAAAUCAACCUACCCGGUCGCUGGAUCAACCCUCGCUGCCAAGUAGGCACCAGCUUACGCGCAGAGUCUAGAAUUGGUUGCCAUUCUGCUCGUGUCAGCUGUCUGAUGGCGAGCUGAAGUCCAAGGUAUUUGCAUGGGAAUUCUGUCAUGUUGCAGUUCAGCAUAGCCGCCACCCGAUCCUUGUCAAGAUCAUCUCCUCUGAUGAUUAUGGCCAAGGGCUUGGCAUAGUUUACCCAUAGCCCAGAGGCUUCUCCAAAAGCUCGUAGCACCUCUGUCACAAAGCCAGGAUCUUGCACCGUGGGUCUACGAACAAAGCAACAUCAUCUGCAUAUAUGGACAGUCUUUGCAGAGCUGUGAUCCCCGUGAAGGAGCUGAUCGCCCCAACUUCCUCUCCUUUGAUGAAAAUCUUUGUCAAAGCGUCCAUUGCGAUCACGAAUGAUAGCGGCGAGACUGGGUCACCUUGCCGUAGUCCUUGUGCAUGAUUAAAGCUCAAACUAGGUACUCCAUUUACCACCACUUUCGUGAAGGCAGUACUUAGCAGAAUCGCAAUCCACCGGAGCCACUUUGGACCAAACCCUUUGGCUUGCAGAACCUCAAACAGGAAAGGCCAACUGAUGGAGUCAAACGCUCGAGAGAUGUCGAGUUUCAGAAUCACACGUUUCUCCUUCCGCCCAUGUAUUUUCCUCGCAACUUGCCUGACUAAAAGAAAGUUGUCGUGGAGAGCUCGUCCCAAGAUAAAUGCAGAUUGGUUGACUUCAACAAUUUCCUUCAUUCUUGUCCUCGCCCGGAUUGCCAGGACCUUAGCAAAUAUUUUGGCUGCGCUAUGGGUCAGACUUAUAGGGCGAAAGUCACCCACUUCCUCCGCAUCUGGCCGCUUGGGGAUCAAAAUGAUAUGAGCCUUAUUCAGCUUCCCAAAUCCUCUUCCUUCUCCUACGUACAGCUUGUACAUAACAGCCAUGAGAUCAUGCUUGAUAAUAGGCCACGCACGCUGGUAGAAUGCACCAAUAAAACCAUCCGGCCCCGGCGCGCGAUCAGCUGGCAUUUCUUUGAUGGCAUUCCAAACUUCUUCCUCCGUGAACAUCUCCUCAAGUUCCCCUAGAUCAUGGGAUUCCAUAUUCAGGAAGCUCAGGUCAACCCCAUCUUGGCGCGUUGUGGCAUGUCCCAUGAGUUGUUGAUAUGCUCCCGUGAAGAUUUCCCCUUUCCUAUCCUGCUCAGAGAUAAUCUCUCCUUGGAACUUCACGCGCGCAAUGAAAUUUUUGAAGCGUCUACCAUUGGCAACUGCCUGGAAAAGCUUCGUAUUGGCGUCCCCUUCCUUGAUCCAUCUUAGCCGUGACCGUUGCCGCUCAAUAGUGCACUGCAGGGAUGCCAGUCCCAAUAGUACUAAUUUGAGCGUUCUUCGUAACCAAAGCUCCUCCUGCGAUAGAUUCUACGCUCCUGCGCACAGUCCAGUCGGAGGAUCACAUAGUUUGCCACCGCCAGCUUGAGCAUGAUGUUGCCCGUCUUUCUCUCGCCCCAAGCUUGCAAUGUCGUAGCCAUGUUUCUCAAUAACGCAUCCAACCGUUUAUACGGGUCGACAAUCUCCUCGUCGCAAACCCACGCGUCCUUUACCGCUUGCUCAAAACCCUCGAGCUUGGUCCAGUAUAGCUCGAAUUUAAAUCUCUUUUGCUGGCAGAAAGGGGCAGAGGUGGAUUGAUAACCCACAAGUAUAGGGGAUCAAUUGUAGCCUCUUUCGAUAAGUAAGAGUGUCGAACCCAACGAGGAGCUAAAGGUAGAACAAAUAUUCCCUCAAGUUCUAUCGGCCACCGAUACAACUCUACGCACGCUUUACGUGCGCUUUACCUAGAACAAGUAUGAAACUAGAAGUACUUUGUAGGUGUUGUUGGAUAGGUUUGCAGGAUAAUAAAGAGCGCGUAAAUAAAAACUAGGGGCUGUUUAGCUAAAGAAGCAAUAAAGUUAGUAUAGCGAGUGUGGAAAAGUGGUGGUAGGAGUUGCGAAAUUGUCCCUAAGCAAUUGACUACUUUACUAGACCGAUAGCAAGUUUUAUGUGGGAGAGGCCACUGCUAGCAUGUCAUCCCUGACUUGGAAUUCUAUGCACUUAUGGUUGGAACUAUUAGCAAGCAUCCGCAACUACUAACGUUCAUUAAGGUAAAACCCAACCAUAGCAUUAAGAUACAUUGGUCCCCCUUCAAUCUUGUAUGCAUCAAUUUCUAUGCUAGGUUGAAGCUUCUGUCAGUCUUGCCCUCCAAUACAUAGUCCUAUCAACAUACAACUAACCCUAUGGUGUGAUCCAUGCGCGCGCUCAUAUGAUGGGCACCAAAGGACAACAACAUAACCACAAGCAAAUUAAACCAAUCAUAGCAAUUCACCAAUUACCGGUAGGACAACGAAAAUCUACUCAGACAUCAUAGGAUGGCAACACAUCAUUGGAUAAUAAUAUGAAGCAUAAAGCACCAUGUUCAAGUAGAGGGUACAGCGGGUUGCGGGAGAGUGAACCGUUGUAGAUAGAUGGGGGAAGGUGAUGAAGAUGUUGGUGAAGAUGACGAAGAUGUUGGUGUAGAUUGCGGUGACGAUGAUGGCCCCGGCGGUGUUCCGGCGCCACCAGAAGAGAGGGGAGAGGGCCCCCCUUCUUCUUCUUCUUCCUUGUCCUUCUCCCUAGAUGGGAGAAGGGUUUCCCCUCUGGUCCAUGGCCUCCAUGCGGCGGAGGGACGAGAGUCCCUCCAAGAUUGGAUCUGUCUCUCUGUUUCUGCGCUCCUGAUUCUGCCCUUUCACCGUUUCUUAUAUUCCCGGAGAUCCGUAACUCCGAUUGGGCUGAAAUUUGGACACGAUUUUAUCCGGAUAUUGGCUUUCUUGCGGCGAAAGAAGGGCACCAACCGCCUUGCAGGGUGGCCACGAGGUUCAGGGGCGCGCCCCCCUGCCUCGUGGCCCCCUCGGGCAUCAUCUCGCGUUGAUUCUUCUUCCCAAAAAUCACAUAUAUUCCAAAAACAUCUCCGUCAGUUUUUAUCCCAUUUGGACUCCGUUUGAUAUGGAUUUUCUGCGAAACAAAAAGCAUGCAACAAACAGGAACUGGCACUGGGCACUGGAUCAAUAUGUUAGUUCCAAAAAUAGUAUAAAAAGUUGCCAAAAGUAUAUGAAAGUUGUAUAAUAUUGGCAUGGAACAAUCAAAAAUUAUAGAUACGACGGAGACGUAUCAUGGGUACAUGUAAUGGUGCAUGAUCCGACACAUUUGUCGACAAGGCUUGGAGCAGGUUGUCCGUAAACAUGAGCUCCCAAUCCACAGCCACUAGUACUCUAUCAAUCUUGGUCAUCACAGGUGCAUCCCUCUCAUUGGUCCAAGUAAACCUCCUUCCAUGCAUGUAAAGCUCUUUGAGCUCAUUGUCUUCUAUGAACUCCCUGAAUUUUCUCAUGAUGUGGUGGUUCAGGUUACUGUUAUUUUUAUCCGCGGCAUUAGUGAUCCUGUUGAAGUCGCCGAGCACCAUCCAUGGCCAUGGACAAGUGGCCCUCCGUUGUUGCAAGUCCACGAGGAAUUGCGGUUUAAGAUCAUCCCCUUGCGGUCCAUAGACCACCGUUACCCACCAAGACGAUCCAUCCUUAUUGUGCACUAGACCUAUCAUGAAGUUUGUGUCACGGCUUAUGUUAUCCACCUGCAUCACCGUAGUGUCCCAAGCCAAAAUGAUCCCACCGCGAGUAUCACAAGCCGGUAAAUAGUCAAAGCCAUCUGAAGAUGGUCCGAUACAUUGCAUCACAAGGAAACGAUCAACUACAUCAAGUUUUGUUUCUUGUAAGCACACAAGAUUCACCCUCGCCGAGGUAAUGAAUUCCCUAACCGCUUUCUUCUUUGCAGGGUUGUUCAAUCCCCGCAUGUUCCAGUAUGGUACCUUAGGAUUUAAAUCCAUAGAUAUCCUAUGCUCACACCUCUCCUCCAUGAGUGCCAUUAGGCUGCACCCACCACUGCGCUCGGCUCCGUCGACAUCGCACUCCACGUUGGCAUCUCUUUGCCAAACAGAGCGGCUAUCACCCGCACAUGUUGCUCUCGCAACGGAGAGUCGAACAGCUCCUUUAGAUCCGCUAUGACUCCCUCAUCCACUUCCAUAUCUGCGCCAAUCCAAGCACCCUCAUAAGCACGUUCUCGGCAUGUGUGGCUUUGGAGGAUGUCGUGGCCGCUUUCCUGGAUCCAUGUGUGGUACGACGCGGCAUGAACGGCUCUGCCUCCGGACGCAAGGACGAUGCUUGUACCUCUUUCAACAAAGGCGGGGCAAUCUUCUUAACGAGCUGCGAGCAAAACCACUUGAGCUUCCUGUAUGCUUCUGCUUCGUGGCCACUCGUGCCUAUGUUGCAUGUAGCUUGGAUGAGCUGGAUGUUGCUUUGCACGUCCAGAAUCGCCGCAUCAGCCUCCAAAUGCUCAGCGUUUGACACUUGUCCCCUACCAACUGUCUCCUCUAGCCCAGCCGAUCGCAUCUCCACCAUGAUUGGCUCCAACAAGUUUUGACAAGCAACCGGAUCUUCUGUACCACCAACCCGAAUAGCCGUAGCGUGAACCGAAUCUCCUCCAAACACGUUGCAAGUCCCAUCGCUCGAUUUGUCCUGACCCUCCUUGGCCUUGCGCCCAGUGGGGCAGAGAGGCCACAUGCCGCUCCCAGCAUCCGAGGACACGCUGCCGGACCCACCAUGCUCCCCAAUUCCACUUCAGGCACUUCCCCCAAUGGUGGGUGUGGUUGCCAAUUCCCCUCCUGUCGGAGGCGUGGGGAACGAGGCCGCCUCUGCACCCGGCCCCACUUCAGUAGGUUCUGCAUUGGUGCGAGAAUCAGCCUCAGCACCUGGUGCCACCGCUGCUGCUUCUUCAUUGGAGCAAACCGCAACCACCACAUCCACUGGACCGCCUGGCUUGUCACCCUGCUCAGCGCCCAGCUGUGUCACGUCUGCCCGUGGGCCUGUCCCCAUUCCCUGAUUGGGAUCCGCAACCUCCGUAUUGGCCACUCGUGGCGACGCGGUCUCCCAGUUCAAAAUUUGAACCGCCCCAACAGUUGUCUCCCUGAUCCUGCCAUGCUGAUGGCCUAUCUGGUCAAAAGCUGACUUGCGCAGCAUCAGCCUCUCCUGAACCCUGGCCCCACCAACAGGCAAACUUUUUCCUCUCUCCACGGCCAUUGGUGGAAUUCUCCAUGCCCGCAGAGACGGAUUGGAGUCCUCACCGGCGGCGAACCUCCGGCCCCCCGCCGCACCUUCAGCUCCGGCGCUAGCCCAAGUACCACCACGGCGAUCGCGCACGCCGAACUGCCAUCCCAGCUGAAAGAACAUGCGGUGCUCAUGUACACACAUUUAUAGGAUUGUGAGGUGCACAAAGCACUUCAUGUACAUGUUUGUAUCUUAGUUUGCUCUUGUGAGAGAUUAAUGGAAUAUCCCAUUAUGGGGGAGUGAUGUGCUUUGUGCACCUCACAAUCCUAUAAAUGUGUGUACAUGAGUAAUACCAUCUAGUAUUGAUAUUUCAAGAUUAUCUAGUCGCUAUGUGGUAUGUCUUCUCAUGAGAAAUUCAAAUUCUAAAUAGUCCAUUAAUUAUCUCUUGUUGGAUCCUCUUAUUUGCCUCUUGUUUAUCCUUAAUUGGUAUCACAUUAUGGGGGAGUAAUAUGCUAUGUGUAUAUUACUAGCCUAGAAAAUGUGACAUUUGAGAUAUUGUCACCUAGAGUUGAUAUUGUAAAUUAUCUUAUUCCUAGGUGGCAUGUUAGCUCUACAAGUUGCAAUUUGCUUGUGUUUGGUGUGAAGAUGAUGUUGGAUAUCAUUGCCAUCUACCAACGGGAAUUAUUUCCAAAUACUUCUUGUCUUUUGACAAUUGGUACUCACUUAUGUGUGGUAGAAAUUAUUGAUCAUCUUCACGUUGGCGUUUGCUUUUUAUUUGCCUUAUCUCUUGCCAAGUUUGUGUCAACUCCCAUUGCCUUCCGUGCCACUUAAGGAUCUUGCUGUUUUCUUGAUCUUGUCUAGUGUUUUCCUUGAUAUAGUGAACGUGGUGAUCCUACCUUGUGCAUUUUUUAUUCAAAUGCAAAUUCUCUAUAAUGCACAACUCGUGGGGGAGCUAUCCUAUUUUCUAUAAAACACUAAACUUGUGAUCCAUUUUAAGUGUGUGUUGGUGGACGGCAAGCCGUUUCUUUUUGGUACUUGUGCCAUCAUGAAACUUUGUAGAGAGCUUGGUUUGUUUGGAACCAUCCUCUCUUUUGGGAGUUUGAUAUCAUUUUGUGGGUUCCAAUGGAUAUCUCAUUCCUUGAUGUAUCUUCUAUUGAUAUCUUCCAAGUGAUGAUUUCUCCAUUUGGUAUUCUUUUCACUUGGUAUUUCCUUGUAUUUUGGUAUGGGUUCUUGAAAGUCUUGAGCAUGCAUAUUAACUUCAUGUAGUUUCCUUGGCAUGCUUUCUCUCUUUUACCCAAUAUAUAGGGAAAACUCCACCAAGUCUCAAAUUGGAUGAGAUGUGCAUGAAUUUCAUUUCCAUAUCUAUAUGCACAUAAUUAUGUGGAGUUUGUCCUAUGUAUUGUUGGUGUUUCUAACUCUUUGGUCCCAAUGAGUUUGGGUACCAUUUUGUUUGAGUCAAGCUAGGAUGAUCAAUGAACUACUUUGUACCUUCAAUUGGUAUCUACUACAUCCUUCCAAUGUUAACUCGGUAACAAGUAUCUUCAUAUACUUCAUGCACACAUUUCUUGUAUCAACCUUGUGUAGGUUGCAUCAUGGCAUGUUAUUCAUUCUCUCUUGUGAUACUUGUUUCCUUUCUCAAAGCAUCCCAACAAUGAUCUCUUGUUGCUAGUUGUGAUGUCUUUGAUGAUUGUGUGGUAGGAAUUCAUUUAUGUACAAUAAGACCAUAUCUAGCCAUGUGCUAUGCUUCCAAGCAAAUAUCUUAUUGGUAUAUCUAUGACUUCCUUUUGGAUAUCUUGUUCCUUCGUGUUGUAACUAUUUCGGGUGUACAUCCUUCUUUGUAGAUAUAUAUCAUCAUGAUCUCGUCUACCUAGAACCUUAUACACUUGAGGGAAAUUACAUCUCUAGAUGAUAUCCUUUCUUUCACGUCCAUCUUGUCUUUCUUGUUAUUUCUUUGGUGGCUCCGUGAAAGCUUUUGCCUUGAGUGCAUGUCUUAUCUCGUUGCAUCUUGAUGCACUCCUGUGUGGUGAAGAUUAUUUUCCUCAUGCUUAUCUCUACGAGGCUUUUGCCAUCUUAAUUGGUAUCCCUCGUCUUGAUGAGGCUUUCAUCUUCUAUCUUCACCAUGGGUUGUCACAAGUGUUGGUUAUUCAUUUUGCAUUUUUAGUAUGCUUGUGAACCCUUUUGCUAGUUUGGUGUGUGUGGGGAGGACAUGUCAUGCACCUUGUAUCUCCACUAUCCAAGACUAUGUUGAUGCUUAAUGCUCAUUCGUACAUUAGUCUUCUCAAGUGCUUUGCCAUGACUCACACACAUCAUUUUGGUUGAGCCUACUCUUAAGUUGCCUCUUUUAUAUGUUGCUCAACCAUUUGUUUGUUGCAAGUGCUAGGCUUUGUUUCCUACAUGCUCACUUGCACUUGUUGUGAGUUUCUAUUGAUUUUCGGGGAGUGAUGAUCCGAUUUUGUGCACUUGGUAUCCUAAUGCAAAUAUUGUAAGGAGUGCACAAAUCAUGGAGAGCUUCACUAGUGUCUUUAGAACACUAUGUUGCUAUCUUGCACUUGUCGUGAGGUUCUAUUGAUCUUGGGGGAGUGACGAUCCUAUUUUGUGCUCGUUGUAUCCAAUUACAAAACUAAAUUGUGCACAAAUCAUGGGGAGCUUCUCUAGUUUCUCUAGAACACUCCUUUGCUCAUAUCAUAAUUUAUUUCAUUCAUGUGGCAUGUAGGAUCAUUGGUCUAGUUGGCUCAAUUGAUAUCCGUUGAUUGCUUGCUUCAAUUGGUAUCUUUUGAUUGCUUGAUUGCUUGUUUCUCUCUUUGUUAUGUCUUUGUGGCAUAUCAAUCUUGUGCAAUCUUUGGGCCUCAAUAUAGUUUGUCUUCCUCCAUGUAUUUACCGUUGGACAUGUGUAUUGCAUUCCACUCUCUUGUUGAGAAAUACACAAUUUAUGGAGGAACACUUUUUAUAUUGGCCUUCUAAGCUUUUCGCCCAUUUUGGCAAUCGAUGCCAAUGGGGGAGAAGUUUCAGAGAGUUUUGUGGAGAAGUCUUCAGAGUUUUCUCCUUGCUUUUGCUUUGUUUUGUUCCUAAGCAUUUGCAUCUCAUACGCAUGCAUUAUUGGUUGUUGCAUUACAUGGUGAUGCAUAAUUCCUUAUAUAAACUCUCUUGAAAGUGAUUGUCAUCAAUUACCAAAAUGGAGGAGAUUGAAAGAACAUGCGGUGCCCCCAUGUUUGGUUUUGGUAAUUGAUGACAAUCUCUAUGGACUAAUGGUUGCCUUGAGUUAUAUUUGAAGGAUUUGUCCAUAGGCAUUUCUUGAAGUUCAUGUGUUGGUUUCAAGGAGUUUAUGUGGUGACCAAGGUGUUAUUAAGGAAUUAUCCAAAGAUUGGUCAUGUGAGAGUUGAGCUUAUUGCAAGCAUGUCUUGGAGAAGAAGAUUGUGUGAUCAUUCAUGUACAUCUUCAAGACAUCAUCCAAAUGAAGAGAGUUGAAAAGAUUCAUGGUUGAUCAAGAAUAAGUCAACAGUGAAUCAACUUGAUCAACUCACAAAGCGUAGAAGAUGUACCGAGAGGGAUCAAGCGACCCCAUUGUGUGGUGAGCAUUGUCAAUUACGCUUUGUGUAUUAACCCAUGAUCUUCGUGAGAGUUCUUUGUGGGGUUAGGUUGCGGUGUGCAAGUUCAAGUGAAGCAUCAUGAAGAGAUCAAAUGCUUGAAGCUUGCCGUCCAUUGUGGUGACAAUGGACUUGUGAAGAUGUUGCGGUGUGCAAGUUCAAGUGAAGCAUCAUGAAGAGAUCAAAUGCUUGAAGCUUGCCAUCCAUUGUGGUGACAAUGGACUUGUGAAGAUGUGCGGAAGAGUGGCUCACCCAUAGUGGAGCAUGGGGGAGCAAUCAACUAGUCUUCAUCGAGCCAACGCAACCAAGAAAGGUGGUCCAACUUGAGGGAGUCAAGAUCGUCAUCAUCUAGCUCAAGUGGACCAUGUGCAAGGCAAAGGUUUGCUCUUGAUAGGUUUUCUAUUUUACCGGUCUCAUGAUGGUAGGUGGGAGACCGGGUUAUAGGAUCGAUUGCCGUACUAUCAAGGGGGGCUCUCGAUGAGUAGCUUGAUCGUAUCGUUCAUAGAGAGCUCAAACCAUUGCAUCCUUGCAUCAUCUUUAUUGGUUCUUGUUUGUUUCUUCUCUUUGUGAGUUUUGGAGCUUAUGGUCAUCUUGAUGACAAGCUCGAGUUCAUCGAAAACGGAGUUCACUCGCAUCUUCUAUGAUGUUUUCGAUGUUGGAGGUUAUGCCGGUUCUUCUCGGUUGGAGGUUUCACUCCUCUAUUUGUUGGCAUACCUCCCCUGCCUCUUCUUACUAUAACCAGUCGCUGGUUUGAUGCUACUCGUCUUCCUCUAUCCAACAAGCUUGAGUUUGCUCAAUUCGGAGCUCAUAUGCAGAAGUUAUGGCAGUUUUGGUUUCCUAGCGGUAGUACCGCGGGCCGGAGCGGUAGUACCGCUUGGGUGCUACAAGCGGUAGUACCGCUCUAGAGCGGUAGAACCGCUCCAGAGCGGUAGUACCGCUGGUGGCCCCCAGCCGUAGUACCGCUACGGUCUCGUGCUAGUACCGCCUCGAUUCGAGGGGUCUUUUUCGUGUCGGGUUUUACGGUACUAGCCGCGGCAGUGGGGGCCGUAGUACCGCUCGUAUGCGGUAGUACCGCCCUGCCACCGCGGUAGUACCGCCCUGGGCCCAGCGGCAGUACCGCGAGAGGGAGCGGCAGUACCGCGAGGGCGAGCGGUAGUACCGCUCGUGUGCGGACUGAGCACAUAACGGUUGGAUUUUUUCCCUCCUAUAAAAGGGGGCCUUCUUCCCCAAUGAACCUUAUCUCUUGAGCUCGUGUUCUUCCUCCAUUGUUGACCUUCUUCGAGCUUGCUAACUCUCAAUCCCUCCAUGGAUUCUUGCUAGUUUUUGAGGGAAAAGAGAGAGGAGAUCUAGAUCCACAUUUCCACCAAUCACUUUCUCCUCUAUGUGAGGGGAACCCAUUGGAUCUAGAUCUUGGAGUUCUUGGUGUUCUCCUUCUUGUUCUUCCUCUCAUUUUCCUCCCUAGCAUUAGUUGCUUCGGUGGGAUUUGAGAGAGAAGGACUUGGGCCCUCCGUGUGCCCUUGCCAUUGCAUUUGGUGCAUCGGUUUGAGUUCUCCACGGUGAUACGUGGAAGUUACAAGUUGAGAAGCUUAUUACUCUUGGGUGCUUGGUGCCCUUGAGCUUGUUCCUCUUGGGUGCUUGGGCGCCCUAGACGGUUGGUGGUGUUCGGAGCUCAAUCAUUGUGGUGUAAAGCUCCGUGCAAGCGUCGGGGUCUCCAAUUAGGUUGUGGAGAUCGCCCCGAGCAAUUUGACGGGUACCGGUGACCGCCCCCAAGGGUUGCCAAAGUGUACGGGUUCGGUGACCGCCCCCAAGGGUUGCCAUUUGUACGGGUUCGGUGACCUCCCUCAAGGGUCCCUUAGUGGAAUCACGGCAUCUUGCAUUGUGCGAGGGCGUGAGGAGAUUACGGUGGCCCUAGUGGCUUCUUGGGGAGCAUUGUGCCUCCACACCGCUCCAAACGGAGAUUAGCAUCCGCAAGGGUGUGAACUUUGGGAUACAUCGUCGUCUCCGCGUGCCUCGGUUAUCUCUUAACCGAACCCUUACUUACGCACUUUACUUUGUGAUAGCCAUAUUGUUUCUUGUUAUAUAUCUUGCUAUCACCUAGUUGUUUAUCUUGCUUAGCAUAAGUUGUUGGUGCACAUAGGUGAGCCUAGUUGUUGUAGGUUUUGUGCUUGACAAAUUAACCGCUAGGUUUAUUCCGCAUUUGUUCAAGCCUAAACCGUAAUUAUUUUAAAGCGCCUAUUCACCCCCCUCUAGGCGACAUCCAUGAUCUUUCACCAGCCUUCUGGUUGACGCACCUCCAGCCCACCAAAGUCUCUGUCUUCCUCGGCAGCUCGCUCUGCCCACUGCCUGAUGAACCGCCCGUGAACCAUGGCUCCUCCGCCUCCGUGUAGUCCAUCACCGAGUCCAGAUGGAUCAACGUCUUGUACUGAAGCAAUUGUGGCUCGAACAGUGGCGCUUCCCCGGACGGCUCCGGCACCGCCAACCAUCUGCGCGUGGGAAUGGUCUCCGGGUCCGCAGUCCACGCCGACAACCGAAACGAGGACAAGUCUGCCUUGAGCUCGUCUCCGGCGCCACGCCAUCAACCAAGCAAGCCGAGCCAAGCAGCUCCUCGGCAACCUCCCGCUCCCAGGCAUGCGGGGGUAUGCCCUCGAUAUCCAGCUGUACCUUGUACCUCAUGACAGCAUGCACUGCCUGUGACUGCCGAGUCCACUGCCUGAAGAACAAACGGACACCCCUAAACUCCAGCUCUGGUUGCCUUCCGACACAGUUCCGGUGCUCCUGUCGCGCGAAGACCACCAUGAAAUCUUCCGGUAUGUGCUUGUGCACAGAAACCCACUCCGACGAGAUGCCAAGCCUAGCCUCCAGAGCUUGCAGCACGAACUCCGGCGAGAUGCCUCUGCACGCACCGCCAACGUACGGAACCAUUGCGAACUGCAGGCGCCUCUCCAGAUCAUCCAUCGUGCCCGUGCGCCUGACCACACACAACUCCGAAGCCUCCAUCUCCAAAUCUGGCUGCACGUUGAGCCGCGGGGCUGUCAGCAAAGGCCACACCAGCGGCGCCACCCUGUCCGCCGGAGGAGGUGGCGGAGGGGGAGGCGUAGUAGUCCGAGCCAUCUGCCCACGUAGCGCAUCCGCCCCAAAACCCGGGCCAGAAGUUGACCGCCUUGCCACCUUGGCCGCCGCCUCCCGUCGGAGCUCCUCCACCGGCGAUGGACUGCGAGGGCGCUUGCAGUCCCUGGAGCCAUGCCCGGGGAGGCCACACUAGUAGCACACGAUGUCGUUCGUGCAAUCCUUCAAGAAGUGUCCUUUCGCCAAGCAGCGGAAGCACUUGUCCCGCAUGUCCGGCGAGAUCUCCCUUAGACCUGCCUGGCGAGGCGCGCCCGUCGCCGCCGCCGCAAGGUCCCGUCCCAUCUUGCGCUUCCAAAGGGUCUUCUUCGUGGCCGGCGCCGGAUGCCAAUCUUCCAGCCGCCGACAUGAGUUCGCCUCCACACCAUGGCGGGUGGGGCCUCAUCCAGAUCCCGAGCGGCAGACCGCUCCGAGUCCGACGAGAUACCCAGCCAAGAGACCACCGGUCGUUCCCGCGUCGUGGGGUACGACGAACCCACCGAGGUCGGACUGCUCGCCAUGAGGAAAGUGGCGGAGGGGACGAGGGAAGAGAUCUCCGUCACCGGGCCGCCAUCACAAGCAGGGAAGAGCAGGGGAAAGCCGAAGAGAGGCAGGUGGCCGUCGGGGCCGGAGUGGCCGUCGGUGGGUGGGUGGCCGUCGGGGCCGGAGUGGCCGUCGGUGGGAAGGUGGACGCUGGCGUCGGGGUGACGCGCGGCGGGGGCGCUCACUCUCGCUCCAAAGAGUACCUGUUUGUAGCUGUUAAGAUAUAAGGCUUCACGUAUCACAAACCCUCUUACUAGGCGGCAACCCAUAUCGCCUGAAUAAAGCCCCGACGUCGGUAUCUCAUCGGUUAUACUCAGAGACCAUAAACGGCUAGCUCUCCUCCUACCAAAUAAAUGACCACACGUGGGUUCAAUUGAUAGCCUUGAAAAGGAUGCAAAUUGUUUGGAGCUUUUGAUAUGUUAAACACACACAAAAGAUACAUUAAACACACAAUCGUUGCAACAAUUUUAUAAAGCUAAAUUGCAAACCCCAACCCCAAUUUGAGCCUUACUAUUAGGAAGAAUACCCUCGAACUAGUGGCUAAACAUAUUCAAACUACUCCUAGGUGGUGGUAGAUUGAAAGCAAGAGGAACUGUACGCCACAAUAGUUUAGAGAGAGGGCAUUGCUCCUAUGAAGGAUUGGUGCGGAGUGCGGAGCACCCUACGGUCAUCCCCAUGGACACUACACCAACUUCCCAGGCACUAGGUGGACCGAUGACGAGAGCUCGUGCACGUGCCAUUGAACAUGGGGGAAACUUGACCCAAAGUGAUUCUCCUUUACCUAUGUGUGAGACAUGGUUACUACCUAAAGCGGAGACGCUAUGUGUAAUCAGGUACCAAGAUGAUGAUCAAGGAGAAGCUAGGAGGGAUGGACAAGAUGGCAUAGAAGCGGAGCAAGAGGAUCAAGAAGGGAAGCUACAAGAAAACUACUGCCAUCGGACAUCCUGUAGACUCACCGCACAUCUGAUGCAAUGCGUGGAGGAGCCCCUAGACAAGCUGCCGAAGCCCAAGUAUAUGGACAUCCGGCGCACACCGGGCAUCCAGUAGCUCCUGAAAGACCGGGCAUCCGGUCGGCACCGGAAAUCUAAUGACCCCUAUCCAAAACUCAAAAUGGUGAAUAUUACCAAAAGUCCAACGCUCACCAGACAUCCGGUCCCUCCCGAGCCACCAGACAUCCGACGACCACCGGACAUCCGGUCCCCCGCGAUCCACCAGAUAUCCGGUAACCACCAGACACCCAUCAUUGCGUGUGUGAAAUCACUCGGGUUUUGACCCAUGUAUCCCCCUCUCUCUCUCUCUCUCCAUAGACUAUAAACACCCCUUCAUUUGGACGGAUUGGAGCUGGCAAAGCAUAUGAGAUGAACUAGAGAGAGCUUUGCUCCUUUACCUACAUCAUUGUAGCCAAGACCUCCAUUGGAGAAGAUUGCCUUGUCAAUUCAAGACCUCCUCCCUUAGGAUUGGAGAAGACUACCCCUCCCCCCCUCAAGGCCUUAAAUUCUCCAUGGAUUUGGGAAGAACUACCUCUUUGACUUAUUCCUUUUGUUGAUUGUGGAUCUAUGUGUUUAUACGGGAUUUUGUGGAGGUAGUGGAUGUGUGAUUUGGUUCUUAUUUGAGUGUUUCUCUUCUUCUUGUUGUUGUGUUCAUAGUUCUCCACCUCCAAGUGUUAUUAGGAACUCUAGGGUCUCUACCCUAUAUCAUCUUAGUCUCACACUUUGGAACCCUCCCCGUCCACCUUUCUAGCCUAAUUUUGUUUUGUUCCUUCCAAAUUCGCAAAUUGCCACCAAAAAUACGCAUACCCAAUUUCUUGCAAUUUGUUGAUUUUGAUGAGAUUUCGUUCAUUUGGAUCCAUGGAUUUCUUGUAUUGAGAGUGGAUCUAUGAGUGCCAACUUGUGGUAUGGUGCCAUUUUUGAAAAAAAAUAAAACAAAAAAACCAUAUCUAGAAGUUUCAAAUAAAUCCGUGGAAACUUGUAUGUGUUAACUAUGGAUCCAUGAAAUUUUGGUUUGGCAAAAUGUAAUGUGUAUUUGUACAAAAGAAUAAAGUUCCAGCCCAAAAACAAAAAAGGCCCAUUUAAAAAUACAUAUUUGUCUUUUCUCUGUAAGCCAAGUAUGGAAGUAAAAUGUUGUGAAAUUUAAGACAUAUGUAGUAUACAUGUGUGUGUGUUUCUACAAAAAAAAUCAAAUAUUUUGCGUCGUAGAAAAUGGUUUUUUGAAAAAAGGGCACCAUGGUGCCACUUCUUACUUUUUUCCCACGGAAUCCUUCCCAUCCGCCCAAAGUCCAAUGCUAAGCGUCAGCGCGCCGGCCCAACGUUUCGACUGAUCGCACGCUAGCCGUCGGAUUGCUUGUCCCGAGCCGUUGCAUCCUUAUCCACCCAUGUCGUCUUCUUCCUUCCCCCGCUUCACGACUAUUCAUCGUUCUCCUCCACGCGCAGGUCGCCGCAUGGUAGUCGCCCCUCUCCCAUGCACCCCGCAACACCCCGUUCCCGCCCUCUCCUCCUUGCCUCGUCCCCGCGACGCUCGCCGUCAUCAAUCACAAACAAAAAGGUGUUGACUGUAGCAGCUUUUUCGUUCGCGUUCUGUUGCAUCCAUGGUGGAAGGGAACUACAUCGCACGUCCCCAUCGAAGGCUUCUUGCAGCAUCGCGGCUUGCCGCGCCGCUCAAAAAGCCAUCGCCGCCGCCAUCGGUAUCCUCGUGAACGGUUGUAGCAAUCGUCAACACUUGUAGUAGCAAAAACAAACACCAAUUGCAGCAAAAAGGCAGUCGCCGACGUCAGUGUCCUCGUAAACGGUUGUAGCAAUCAACAACACCGGUAAUAGCAACAAAUGACACCGGUUCCAGCAAAAGGCCGUCGCCACCGUCGUGGGUCUUGGGUCAUCAUCAAUGGUUGUAGCAAUCGUCAAAGCUGGUAGUAGCAAAAAAACGUCGCCGGUAGUAGCAAAAUCCAACUACAGUUGAAUAUUUAUUAUCCACGAUUGAAGUUUUUCUGUCAUUGGUUGCAAUUCUUUUCCACUUGCAUGGUGCCGUAGUUGAAGCUUUCUUUAUCUGCGAUUGAAGUUUUUCUGUCAAAUAGUUGCAGCUUUUCCUUGUUGGGCAGUGUCGAUUCAAGCUUUCUCUAUUUAUUGUUGAAUCAUUUUUCAACAACUGUUGAAGUUGUUUUAGAUCACGAUUGCAACACUUGUAUCUGCGUGGGUGUGGCCAUGAUAACAGGCACCCAUGACAUCUCCUUGCUGAUUCUAGCAUUUUCUCACCGCGUUUGCAGCCAUGUGGUCACCUCGGUCACCAUCAUCAGGCGCACCCCGGCCGCCAUGGUUGCAACAUGUAGUCACCGCAUGGGGANNNNNNNNNNNNNNNNNNNNNNNNNNNNNNNNNNNNNNNNNNNNNNNNNNNNNNNNNNNNNNNNNNNNNNNNNNNNNNNNNNNNNNNNNNNNNNNNNNNNNNNNNNNNNNNNNNNNNNNNNNNNNNNNNNNNNNNNNNNNNNNNNNNNNNNNNNNNNNNNNNNNNNNNNNNNNNNNNNNNNNNNNNNNNNNNNNNNNNNNNNNNNNNNNNNNNNNNNNNNNNNCGUCUCCAGCCGGCUUGCAGCAUCUAGGCUCGCCGCCCCAUGCCGGUUCAAGUCCAACUCCGAGGAGUUGGGAGUCGUCGGGAGCAAGGAGGUCGCUCCAGUUGUGGAGCUCGCCAGGAAAAGCCGUGGCGGAGCGAGAAACGGCCCAUGGGAUCACGGGGAGCAGAUACGGAUGUGAUGCAUUGUUGAAGAAGAAAAAGAACGACAAAAAAAACUAUGAUACGUGGGUUUGUGUCCAACGCAGGGGUGCUAGGCGUACGACCGAAGCGAAACGCACACAGUCCCAGAUGCAGAUCCAGUCGAGCGGGCCACCCCAAGCCCCCUUUUCAUACUGCAGCAAUUGCUACACUAUACAAAGAUUUGUGCCUCAUGCUCGGGUCUGGGGCCUAGAUUCACCACUGCGCAGUCCCAUCACAGCUAGAUAGAGUCAGACACACAUGAAGAAGCCGGCGAUAUAUGCCGACGCUAGGACGGUCGGUGUUGCAGUGUCUCGAGAAAUAGCUCAAGAUCGUCAUUAUUCCGGGUGGUAGGCGAGUUCAUCAGCCUCAUCAACAAAUAUCCAGAGCGUCGUCGUCCUGUGGUUGCUUGUUCCUCAUGGAUCCACCGUGUAGCAGCGAAGGAGCAAGUUCCAAAAAGAAAGAAAGAAAAGAACCUAGUACGCACCACCAUCGCGACGCUUUGCCGUGCACGCCGUACGUCACGUUCCCCCUCUAGACCGUACUACUUACCACUCGUGUACGUGUUGCUCCGUGCCGCAGCCCCACUGGACCACACAGCCGAGUAACCACAACCGCAAACCGCCCCCCAGCACCUGGCCGAGAGCCGGGGCCUCCUUGUCUCACCUCGCCGCCGGCCGGCCGGCUCUGGCCGGCUUUGGAGAGAAGCGAGCCUCUUAUCCUAUCCCUUCUCGGCGGCGGGUUGCUCGGCCGGCGAGCUCAAGCUCCAAUGUCAGUCAGUACGGGUACGUCAACUGCCUCUACCUCUCAGGCUCUCCCUAGCUGCUUUGCUUGAGCUUCAAAGAAUUUGCUUUUCCUCUCGUCUCUGGUAGAGUUCGGAUUCGGAUUCUGAGUUAUAGCCAUUUCUUUUGCUGGGGAGGAGACAACUGCAAAUUAGUGGGUUCCCUAGGCCGGAAUCAGAAUAACUGAAUGAGUGUUCCUUGGUCAACCAUAUUUCGCCCGGCCAACCGCAUCACAAAAGCACAUCUUGCUAGUUGCUACUGCCUUUUUUCCUGUACCAAUCUUGCCACACACUCUCUGCUCUACUAGAUUAUAAUUCACCUUUUUCUUUGGGUUGUUAAGAGAUGAACUUUCCCGACUUCUGCUCCAGCCUGCAGCCCGCGGAGAUGUUCCAACUAGACAGAGUACUUUGCUCAGUGUUGUUCUAGCCAGGAUAUACAACUUCGAAUUGUGUUCCAUGAAUCAUAACUGAAUUGCAUCACCCUAGAAUAGCAGAGCCUACUAUGACCCGAGAAUUUCAUCACCUUGGAAUUGCGGUCUUCUUUGACUAGAGCCAUUUCAGCAGUCAUGCAUAUCAGGUCAAUUGUUCAUCUCAAGUAUAAGCAAAAUCUCAAGCCAUUGAUGCUCCGAGCGGUUGCGUAGUCACCAUCAUUAUGUGCCUUGUCAAUUGCUACUAGUAAUCGUGUACGUCCAAUGUAGGUUAAUUUUAAUUGCAUUGAAAAUUAAUAUUUGGCAAGAUCUUAAUUGCAUGUUGAUAUUAGGUAGCAUAUAACUAUCGCUGAUAUUAGGUAUGCUAUCAAUUAAGGGAGAGUGCUAAACAUGUUUAGCGAUAAACAUCGGAGCUACAUAAACCGUUGGAUAGAUGCGGUUGAACUGGUGAGAUGUGUUGGAUCUCCGCAACUAGCUCUUUUUAUAUUAAGUAUAGAAGUAUAGAUAUAGAUAUAGAUAUAGAUAUAGAUACUUCAAAGUUCAAACUUCACCUGUGUAAGGUCAGGAAAGUGUUUAUAUGCUACCUACCAACCUUUUGUACCAAACUUCCCACAUGCCCUUUGCUUGCAGCCAAAAAAAUGAUAUUACAUGUUAGGCAUCUAACGUAUGUUAACAUAACAUUCAUCAUUUUCUUCUAGCUAACCUCACAUUUUUCUGCUACCUAACUUCACCUUCCCUUCUUGUAUGAACCAGCUGCGUGCCAUCACCACGUAUCUCUCAUUUGAAGAAAUCUGUGCUUCAAGUUCAGUAGAGGAGAAUGAGGCUGGUGUGUGUAAAUGGCCUGAGAUUCAGGCACCUCAGGCUUGCGUUCCUCGCCAUCUUUGCGGCGUUUCUUCUUUGGAAAUGGGAGAAGGGAUCACUGUACAGUCCUGGUAUCCUCCGACCGGAGCCAUUGGUCUUGAGUGAGUUAUCCAGGUCCUCUCAAAUUAUAAGCCCAAGAACUAAUAUUCUUUCAAGGUCCUCUCUGUGGGUCAUCUUGGGGCUUGUUUUCCCAGUAAAUUUCUGUUGCUCACUCACAGUUUGUAGAUCGGAAUACCUCCAUGGAGGAAGAUCCCCCCAUCAUCGAUCCAUUGGUGCAGUCGGUCACUGAAGUAGGAAAGGAAGGCAUUUCUGCGCCUCCACCUCUGACCAUAGUUCAUAACUCUGAAGAUGUCGCUGAUAACGCGGGAACAGCACCUCCUCAGAAGAAAGGUAAUUCACUAUCUCACACCCUUUGCUAGCUUGUGCUAUUGCCUUUUGAGAUGUAUUAUGUUAAGCUUAGCUUUCUCCUAAAUUUUUGCUUCAUCGAUAUUUUAGAAUGUGACUACAGGAAUGGAGAAUGGGUUCCUGAUAACCGCAGGCCACUGUAUUCUGGCCCCAGAUGUAAAAGAUGGCUCUCUGAGAGCUGGAACUGCAGAUUGACACAACGCACAGAUUUCGCUUACGAGAAAUUUAGAUGGCAGCCUGAAGGCUGCAAUAUGCCACUGUUUCAAGCUGCCCAAUUCUUGACAAGGUAUAUGUUGCUGCUCCUUCAGUUUGAAUUUGCUGGAGAUGCUAUGCACUACAUUCUUUCGCUUAGGAUUUUUAGAGCUUUUCAGGUAAUCUAUCAUACUAAUUUGGAUGUGUUUCAGAAUGCAGGAUAAAACCAUUGCUUAUGUAGGCGACUCUUUAGGGAGGCAGAUGUUCCAGUCGAUGAUAUGCAUGCUUGCAGCAUCUGGGAAACAUCAUUCAGAUGUGGAGGAUGUUGGCUCCAAGUACGGAAUGGCCCAGACACAUCGUGCAAAACGACCAACACGGUCAGUAGGCUCGGCCUACCGGUUCCGGAGCACAAACACGACCGUCCUGUAUUACUGGUCAUCAACACUCUGUGAUCUGGAGCCUCUCAGGCGAUCAAAUCCAGCUGCCGGUUACGCCAUGCACCUUGAUCGCCCACCUUCGUUUCUCAAGAAGAACCUUCACAGGCUCCACGUCCUGGUUCUGAACACCGGGCAUCACUGGAACAGGGGUAAGCUGAAGGCGAACAAGUGGGAAAUGUACGCCUCGGGAGCACCGAAUAACAAUCGAGAGAUCGCCAGCAUGUGGAAGGCGAAGAACUUCACUAUACAUGGUGUUAUUAAGUGGCUAGAUGCCCAGCUUCCUAGAUAUCCCCACCUGAAGGUGUUCUACAGGUCACUGUCACCAAGGCAUUUCUUCAAUGGGGAGUGGAACACCGGAGGCACUUGCAACAACAAGGAUCCUUUGGCCAAGGGUAACAGGGUAUUUCAGAAUCAUUCUGAAGAUGCCGACGGCGAGGGAGCGGUCAAGGGCACUAGGAUCAAGCUCUUGGAUAUCACCGCGCUUUCACGGCUACGGGACGAAGGGCACAUAUCAAAGUACAGUAUCAGAGCUACACCAGGGGUCCAAGAUUGCCUGCACUGGUGCCUUCCAGGUGUUCCAGACACAUGGAAUGAAAUACUGGCCGCUCAACUGUAGGCACUUGGCUGCUGUCAGGGCAGGCUCAGAGGUUUAUAUUCAUCUUAACCCGUCUUUAGAAGCUUUGCUCAUCGUAAGUUAUGAUAAGCUAGCGAAGGGCGUCUUUCCAUCAUGAAAGUUAUGAUAAGCUAGCGAAGGGCGUCUUUCCAUCAUGAACGGAGUACAGUUCAUGAACGUUACUUUUCACCAUGUAACUCUGUAACACUUGUUAUGCCGGUAUACAGUUCAAAAACAUUCUUUUCAAGACCAUGAAACACUGUUAUACGUGAUCACGUGUUCAACAAAGAAACAAGAUGAGAAUACCACCCAGUAUGACAAGCUUAUAUCAAGUAUCCCUGCCAGGGAAAUUCUAUAAAUGGUGUAUCUCCAGGUUAAACGGGCUUACAAAAAGGAAGCUACAAAGUACAAACUGGUAACGAUCAAAUUUCAAGAACACAAAGACCCCAAGCUCAAAAAUUACAAGACCUAGUGAUACAUGUGACCUUUGUCCAACCACUAGCCAAAUAUACCGAUAUAAAGCACUGAUGGUCACAGUCAUAACUUCAAAAAACAGGACAAAAAGCUUCUUGGUAUCACCAAACGCACACAUGACUAAGCAGUGGCAUCAAGACAAAUCCAAGCCAUCCAGCCAAGCAUCACCACUUCAGAUAAGUUGUCAAUCAUAACUGGCAUUCAGAAACUUCAACAGUUCAUUGCGCUUGCUCUCAGCCGCCUUAUCUUCCUUGGAUUUCUCGAGCUUCAUCAUUAUCUACAAAUUAAGUCAAAUAGUUCAUACUUCAUAGUCCCACUUAGAUUGGAAUGAGUUUCAUUCCAGCAGGUACAACAUCUUAUUGUUGUGUGAGUAUACAACCCAAAAGAUAAGCAUCAAAAUGGUAGAGAAAUCGUCCUCCUCACCUUUUUACCAGAGAUAACACUCCUUUUGCCGCUUUCCUCCUUCUCACGGCCAAGGAACUAAUAAACAAAAUAAAUUGCAUUUGAAAAUGAUUAUAAGACAACAAACAAAUGAAAAGGCGCACAGGAAAUAUUUAUACCUUGGAAAGCUGGACCGGACCGCUAGAACGUUCACUCUCUUUCUUCUGCAUAAAGCUCCCGCAUUGAAGAGAACAAAACAUAACAACCAAGACAACCAGCAAGCCAAUACACCAUGUUGUCACCCGUUCACGAAUCCCAGCUCCAAUGUCAAAGAGCCAACCCAGAAACAGGUAGCAAGAAAUAUAAGGAUCUCUCACAUGGAAAUAAAAAGGAUAAGAAAUAUUUCUGUUGCUAAGACAGUGUGUAGUACAUGAUAUUGAAUAUUUUUCAAUUCAUAUAUGACCAAUGAUAAAUCUAAUU
rnacentral:lncRNA from 1 species